AAAGCCAAAGGGGUCGACCCCAGUACGACCAUGCCUUACUAUCAAACGCAUAACGCUCAAAUAUGUUCCAGUUCUAGCGACAAAUAGACCAUACACAGUAUCUUAGUCACUAGAAUGUCACUUAAGAUGAAAACUAGAAAAAAAAAAUAGUCCAGUACAAUAAAGCUCCGGCUAUGCACAGUGUCCAAGGAACAUCUCAAAAUACUGUAUUAUCAUAUUCCAGAUGUUAGCAUCUAACAUAACGACAAUAAUGUCUCAAUCCCAAACAUAAUUGUGAUUGACAAAUCAAUCCUCGAUAUUUACUUCAAUAAUCAUCAAGUAGACUACAGACAACUGAUCUGCCAUAAGACAAAUUACUUUCCGAUGAAAACUUCCCUGGAAUAGUUAAUAUUAAAUCUAGCUGUUAGUACCAGCAACUCUAUGCCUCAUGAGGGUUUUAGUUCAUAACAUGGUCAACAGAUGGAGUACAGGAAACAGAUCCCAGAGUCACAAGGACGUAUUACUUUGGAUAAAAUGGUGAUCCAGGAGGAGCCAUCAAACCAAGUGCUUGCAUUACCUUCAUUCGACGCCCUCGUGGUAAUGUCAACAGUAAUAGAGCUGCAUAAUAAUAUUAUAAACUACUUGAAGAUUAAGUAUAGAGAUCGCAUGUAGUUAUGAUUCCAAGCCACUAAAGAUCUGCAUUGUCCAAUUCAUCUCCUUCUCAUUUUCUCUGAGAUGUCAUUCAGUUUUGUUAAAAGCAGAACGAAUAAACUACGAAGCAAGACUUAGCAUGAAAGUUAAACCAACAUAAUUCAUGUAUCAUGUGACAGCAAAAAAGGAUAUCAAUACAUCAUAGUGGUAACACAUCACAAAUGGAAAACUGAAAAAGACAAGAUUUAUGAAUUAGUUGAUGGAAAAAAAAAAAACUUAAGUACUCAACUUUGUCCAUACAGCCUGCUUUUUUCCUUAAAAUCGAAUUCCUAUUCAUAUUGAGCAUUUGUUUUUUUUGCCUUUCCUGUUAUCCACUUGUGGAAGGCCCAAGCUUCUACUAGAAUAGGAGGCACAACUUCAAAUCAAAUAACCCUCAGAGGUAGAAGUUGUUCACUACCAGAAGUUGGCGAGUUUUGACUUGUUUUCUUUUUGAUUUUAAAAAAGGGCUUAAUUACCUUCUUAGCACUUCUUAUAAGAAAUAUAACCUAGUAUUUCUGCUAUUUUUCAUUCAAAAGUGUCCAUUUCUGGACUUUAGGCAGGAAUUUUAGCCGUCAAAAUCCCAAUAUACUAAAAUAUGUUACCAGAUGUUUUCUCAAGGUUCCCGGUCACAAAAAUGAGAAAAACACAUUUUUACUGGAACUUGUACUAUUGAUAGGUAUUUAAGACAGUUCCAGAGAAGAUGAAACCUACAGAAGUUGAGGGUGUCAUGUCCUGACUUUUGUUGUUUCCUUUGCCUUCAGAUGCACCGGCGCUGAGUGUUUCUGCUAAAAAAAAAACACUUCUUACAAGAACUUGGGGGAGGGAAGGAGAAAAAAGAAUAUCAUUAAAGAUCAAUAUAAAUGGUAAUUGAAAAUCUCAAAGACACCAUCGUGGACCUACUUGCUGACUCAAAAGACAUAUUUUCUUUUCAUCGAUGCAACUUAGUUAAUGUUACAUAGAAGAAGGGGUCCAUAGAGGCGAUAAUAACUACUUGUGUUAUGUUCUUAUCUCAUUGAGUUUUUGUUAAUUUAGAUGCUUCAUAUGUUGGGAAGUGAGAAAUACUUACUUGGUUUGAUGUUUAUAACAAUAACAACAUAUCCAAUGUUAUCCCACAAGUGGGGUCUAGGAAGGACAGUUUGUACACAGAUCAUAUCCUACAUUGUGGAGAUAGGGAGGUUAUUUCUGAUAGACUUUCCGCUCAAGAAGGAUUAAAAUACUUGGUUUGAUAUUUGGGAUGUUAAAAUAUAUCUGGGGAAGUUGGGAUUGAAAGAAAGGCAUUUGACAAUUAAUGGGAACUCUAGGAAGAAGAGAAACACAAGGGGUACAUAUUUUGACCAUUAAAACAGGUCAACUUCAAAGUUUGCAGCUCUAGUAGAUGAAUAAUGUGUCCAUCACUUCUAAAGGAAAGUAACAACUUAAACAAUUUGUCAUUUGAAUUUUUUUUCCACAAAAUUAUGACGAUUCCUCCAAAGGUGACACUCCAUAAGGGGUUCGAGUCUGGCACCAAAGGCCUUCUUGGCCAAGAAAGAUUCCUUAAAAGCUUGACACGAAACCAGAAAAAUUAAAGCUAGGCAUCAAGCUUACAAGAGAUGUGGAGUAUUUAAACCAUUUCAAUGAGGCCCAAACCUGCCAUUUUCAUUUCCCUACUCUUCCAAAACUUCCACACAACUCCCCAACAAGGUAAAUUUCAAAUCACCAAUUAAUGUUAUUUUACACUUAGUACACUAGUCUUAACCCUUAUAUUCAUUGAAUUUGGAGUUGGUGGUCAAAACCACACCUAAACUAUUAAUUUUUCUUGUGAACACCAACAGUCAACUCCACCAUUGCUGAAUAUAAAUGGUUUCUACUUGUUUUGGGUAACCCAAAUGGGUCGGGUUAAUUAUGGUUAGGGUCACAUGGACCAAUAAACCAGUGUCACCUAUUUAAUUAGAGGCCGACAUGUGUCAUCUCAUAGUUUUGUUAAAAGGAGAGGCAUUUGUAACCGAAAAUUAGAGUUAAGGGUAAUUUGGGACCAAUAGGUGGAGGAGAUGCAUCUUUAACUUAAAGGUAACGUUAAGAGCCAUUGGGAUCCAAUAUGUAAAAUGAAGACAAAUUCAAACCAUUUCCAAUACACUCUGGGCUUUUUCGACCCUUUUCUGAUAAUAGCAUUAGGGCCAAUUACAAAAAAAUCUCCUUUUCUCACAAUUCAAAGGUCCUUACUCUAUUUUAAAGAAUAUUUAUUUCUACUCUCUACACUAUUCACUAUUGUAGGGAAGUUAAGAAUAUUUAAAGACAGGUGGGAAAUCUUUGAAAAACUCAAUGGGAUUAAGCCAAAGUAUACUCUAUCUUCUGUUGACUUAUUUACUUGGGCAACUCAACUGUUUUGUUUCUUAAAAUUGGCACUAGGAGAGAUAGAUUCAAGAGUGCACAACAGAUAAAUUAGAAUCAAUAGAAAAGGCGAAAAUAAAAGGAAAAAAAAAAAAGCCUUAUCUAUGAUAUUGGACGCCGCAUAUGUAGAUGAUAAAAACUCACUCAAAAAAACCAUUAUACUGAAACUCUUAACUUCGUGGCAAUUCAAAAAUGAUGCUUUCUGCUAAUGCUAGAAUGGAUGUCAAUACAAUUAUACCAAAAUCAAAUGAAGCUCGUAGCAUUAGAUGGAUUACCAAUUUUCCAGGACAUAUUUAAUUUUAAAGCUGCUGCAAAGACUCAAUUGUACGAUUAAGAAACCAAGCUUUCAAGUGUGAAAAGCAAAGAGAAGUAUGAGCAAAAGGGCCUAACCCUUAGAUUGCAUGUCUUCCAUCUCCAUUGCACCAGAUUUGAGAUAAAGGAGAUCCUAUAACAAAAACAACAUUGGUAGGACAAACUAUUCACAAGAACCUAAGUCACAGACUCCCUCCCUGAGAGAUGCAAACUUGUGACACAAAAGUCUCAUAAUAGAGAAAGAGAAUAAAGCCUCACCUGCUUUAGAGCUUCACCUAGUAUGUUAAUAAGACUGCCAUGGUAUUUCUCCAUUAUCUGAAAAUUCAACGUAAAAGUUGUUAAACAUAUCAGAAGACUCCCAUUUAUGAACAUUAUGUUUCACCAUUAGCAUAUAUGGGGAGCUCACCUUCUCAUAUUCCAGUUGAGAUUUAAUGGGAUCUACAUACAAACUGCAAGUGAUUUAAAUGAAGCAGAACCUUUAAAUAGGAAUAACACAAACAGAUACUACAAAUGAACAACAGAGUUGGAUUUUCUUACUAUGUGUAGCUUCCAUACAAGCGAACAAGGACUUCACCAGCUACUUUUUUUGUGGGCUUUUUGUUCCCACCUACAGCCUUCUCAUCAACAACCUGCCGAAAAAAAUGAAGAGACAAGGAAACUUACCAACAACUGUUUUAAACAACUGAGGAUAGUGAUAUAUACAUACAAGAACAGAAUAUCUGAAAGAGAAAAAUAUUCCCAAUUCUCAAAUACCUGACCAAACCAUGAUUGACCGUUGAGCUGGACCCAUAUCAAAUUGCCAAAAUCAACCUUCACACUUGAUUUAUUCAAUGAAGCAUCCUCCACAAUUCCCCUCCUUUCAACAUUACUUCCAUUUCUUGAACGCGAUUUACUUUUCAUAACUUGAAAAUUUUUACACACAAGUUUCAUACAAAAAGAUCUCGAAUUGUUUCACUAUAUGCACAUGGUAAUGGAUAUUCUUGAGAACAAUUUGUCAGGUUGAAAUGGGGGAAGAUGGGGCUGCCUUUCGACUUUCCUGAUUCAGUUACUGAUAGUGUAGGAUUUUUAAUAAUGGGUAAGGUCACUUUUGGGCCUCUGGCCUUUACUUAUACUUGAUAGGGAAAAGGACAUGGGCUGAAUUAACAAAAAAAGGAAAAAAUAUAUAAAGUAAUAUAUUUAAGUAUUAAAUUAUAAAAAAAAUAAUACUUUUAUCAAAUUAUAUUUUAUAGCAUAUAUAUUUGUAUGUAUUUGUAUUUUUGUAGAAACAGUUUGUAAAAAUACAAAAUAUAUUUCGAUCAUAAAGACAGUAAAAAUCAUAUAUGUUUGUAUUUUUGUAGCAACAAUUUGGAAAAAUAUAAAAUGCAACUUGUUAUAUUGUGUAAUUAUGAAACUAUUGCUAUAAAUCUCAUAAUUAAGAGAAUAAGUAUGCUAUUUCUGAAUUUUCCCCCAAUAAAUACAUAAAGUAGCAUACUUAAGUAUUAAAUUACAAAAAAUAGCAACACUUUUAUCAAAUUACAUUUUGUAGCAUAUGUAUUUGUAUGUAUUUGUAUUUUUGUAGCAACAGUUUGUAAAAAUAUAAAAUACAUAUCGAUCAUAAUGGUAGUAAAAAUCAUAUGUAUUUGUAUUUUUGCAGCAACAGUUUGCAAAAAUACAAAAUACAACUUGUUAUAUUAUGUAAUUAUGAAACUGUUGCUAUGAAACUCAUAAUUAAGGGGAUAAGUAUGCUAUUUCUGAAUUUUGUAUGGCCACAAUUUGAAAAGAUGGACAACUGUAGUCAGUCGGCUAUUUUUAAUCUAAAAAUUACAUAAAUACAUAAUUUAUAUUUUCAACAUUACAAAAAAUCCCAACUCUCUAAACAUAUUACAAAAAUCCAUACAUAUACAUAAAAUGCUAUGUAUAUGUGUGGCUAUGUUAUGUAUAUUAAUAGGGAGAGAGAGUAAAGUAAUUAAAAAGGUGGGAGAGAGUUUAAUUAUUUUCAAAGCGUUCGCAUUUAUGUUAUUUAUACAUUUUUAAUUCCCUUUUUUAGCCAUUUGGCCCAAUUGGGCACAUGCAGUAUUUAUACUCAAUUGAUACACUUUUGUACUAAAUUGAUACACUUUUUUACUAUAUUGAUACACUUUUUAAAAAAGAGAAUGGAAAUUCUAUGUAAACACAUGCAGUCCCUAUAUCCAAUUGAUACUCUUCUAUAAUAUAUUAAUACACUUUUAUACUACGUUGAUACACUUGCAGUGUUCAUAUACUCAAUUGACACUCUCUUAUACCAGAUUGAUACACUUUUAGAAUGCAUGUAGAAACUAUAUAGUGUCAUAUAAAAUAUGUAUCUAAAUAAUAAUUGUAGUAAAAAAUUAUAUAGAAUAUGCAUAAAAAUGAUAUAAUUAUUUUAUAGAAUAUAUAUGUAUAGAAACUGUAUCAUUAUUAUAUAGUUUACCUGAAAUUGUUUCCAUCAGUUACUACCAACGAAGCAAUGUAAUUUUUAUUAAAAGUACGUGGAAUAAUGAAUACAGAGAGAACAAUUUCUAUUGCAUUCAAAUGAUUGGUUUUGUUGAAAAAUAUCCAAUGUGCAAAUUAUGUAAAGCAGGGAAUAACAAUGCUACUAAUCAAUUGGUUUCUAAUGCAGACAAAGUUAUAAUUAGUUCAAUGCAAUAAUUUCCUCUUAUUAAGUAGUAACUAAGUUAUUUGUUUUCAUUUCCUCUUAUGAGUUUGUGGUGUGACGGUUUUUUUAUUCAAAUAAUAUGGGGAGUAUCUAUUAUAAUUAGCAUUACUAAUGAUGCCCACUCCCCACACACACCAAAUGCCCAUUCGGUUGGAAUUAUUUUCCCGAGUGGCUAUUUAUCGGGAUUUAAAAUUUAGGUGUUAGUUUUGUAGAAUUAUUUUAGUUUUAGGUGUUAUUUUUGUCCUUUCCGCUACUUGAUAUUUGUCUUUUAUUUAUUUAUUAAGUAUAAACAAUAGAAAUUACAGUGUAAAUGAACUUAAUUAUAUUGUAUCUCAGACUUUUUUUUUUCUCCCUGAUUUGGAAAAGUACAUAUACAUGUUGACCCCACCUUAUACAUUAAUGAAAUGUAUAAUAUAAAUCGUUUUUCCUAAACUUAAGGAAAUUAAAUCAGCCACCAUUAUUCUCUAACUAAAUUAACGACAAUCAUUAAUUUACUGAUUUGGUGGAACCUUAAAAUCAGUAACAAUAAUUCAAAAUUAGAAAAAAAUUGAAAGUUCAAAAUAAUUGAUUUGAUCGAUCUUGAAAUUUCUCCAACAACUAUUCUUAGCAAAUUAUUUCAAGAUCUGUUUUAUUCCAACAUCCAACAUCAAUAUGAACAUCACAAUUUUAUUGAGGCAUAUUUGACAAUCUUAAAUUGUAUAUGAACAAUAUAAAAGUGAUGGCAUUAUUGUUUCAAAAAGUAUAAUAUUUUUGAGGUUGAUCUCGACUAUUGCUUUAGAACUAGACAUUGAUGAAUGUAGGAAAAAAAAAUAGAAAUAAAAUCUAUCGUGGAAGGUAAGUCUUUCAAGUUUUCAAAGUAUACUAGAUUUUUCAGAUGAUCAAUCUUGGAAUUUCCAUAGGAUACCUUAAAAAAAGUUUGUUUAUUCAUAUGAUGACCCAUUAUGUUGGCUUAUUCUUUCCGAGUUCAUCUGGUAGAAUCUUCAUUAAGUUUGAAUAACUAGCUGUCAUUAUCAUGUAAUGAUUCUAGAAAAUGCAUGAACUGAUUUUAUUAAUGUUAAGUCAAGUUCACUUAUUAAUAUAUUUUUUUUAUAUUCCAAUAAGAUUAGCCAAUUUUAUAGUCAUUUAUGAUCGUUAAUUUGAGUUUUUUUUUAGAUGUUUGCAUUGUUUCAUAUGUGUAUUUUAUGGUACACCUUUUUAGUGGUGCGUAUUUAUUUUAUAUAUUAUACAUUGCAUGUAUAUUUGAUCGAUAAAUGAAUGUUGGCAAGUAAUGUAUAAGAUUUUUAUUAUUAUGCUAAUGUAUAUUUAUCCAGCUGAUGUACAAGGUUAUCAUUAUGACAAGUAAUGUAUAAGAUCAUUAUUAUGACCUUGUACAUUAACCAUAUAAUGCAUAAGGUUAUAAUAUUUAAUGUUAAACAAAUAUUAAAUUUGGAUAAAGUAUGAAAUCUGAUACUAUAAUGUUUAAGUAAAAAGUUUUAUUAAUGUUACAAUCUAAUGUAUAAGGGUUCAUUAUACAUUUUUGUAAAUUGUGGACCUUUAAUCUAUCAUUUUAAAGAUUGAAAAUAAUGGUUGUAUUAUUUUAUCAUAUAAAAUGCUGAAUAAAUGCUAAAUUUGACAAAAGUAUGGAAUAUAAUUGUAUAAUGUUUAAGUAGAAAGUUUUAAUAAUGUUACAAUCUAAUAUAUAAGGAUUCAUUAUACAUUAGACAAAAAUAUGGACUUUUACUCUAUCAUUGUAAAUGUAACGUUUCGAAUCUGGUACUCGAAACGCUACACGGUGCCCAUGACCCCGAAGGACCACAAGCUAAUCCAUGACUGAUAUCUGUACCUGUACACUAAAUAAUAUACUGAAAGAUAUAUGUGGAAUAUAAAUUGUAAGGCCAUAAGGUUCAAAACUGAAUAAACAUCUGAUCAAACAAUGUCUGAAAAUGGUAUAACAAACCCAAAACUGAUAAUGACUGUCUAACAUUCUAUAGUUUGAAAGCCUCUAACUGUACUGAAUAAGGAGCUGAAGGAACAUGUCUCCAACUAACUCUAUCUACAAAAAGUUAACUGAAAUAAUGAAAUAAUAAAUAAUCAUAUCCUCCUCGAAUGAUGAGGACUCACCGCUAAUCUACAGCUGCUGGAGUCUGGAAUGCUACUAACACUCUAGAUCUCGUGCUGCUGAAACUAUAGUAUAAAAAUACCAUAGCAUGAAUGCGUCAGUACGACUGAAUGUACUGGUAUGCAAGUGAGGUAGGCUGAAUGCAUGGGGUUUAUAUGCAUGAACAAUACUAACUGACUGACUAACAUAAACGUGAGAAUACAUACAUGAAUACGUAAUUGUAACUGUAGUCAUAAUAGAACUGAAUACCGAAUUUUGAAUACUGAGUCUACUAAUAACAUGGAUUUACUGAUAUCUGAGUUUACUGAUAUUGAUAAUUGAGUGACUAUUUCUGACCGUUCUGAUUAUGAAGAACUGAUCUGAUUGACUAUAUCUGACAGUCCUGAAUCUGAAUACUGAUAAUAUGAGUUUUGUGUAACUGAUAAAAUGAGUGACUGUAUUUGACAGUCUUGAUACUGAUGAAACUAUCUGAGUUUCGUUCUAAGUUGAGUUGACUGUAUCUGACAGUCCUGAAAUCUGAAGAACUAUCUAAGUUCUUUUACUGAUACUGAGACUAAGACUGAGACUGUGGGAAGUAGUCGUCUAACCAACAUUCCCCUAAUACUCCAUUAUGGAUGAGUUGGGGUCCAAUCUGUAACCCCAAUUAGAAGGGUGUCAAUACCGCACCACUGGUAAGGACAAGCUGUAUGUGACCCUCAUCUGACAGUGUUUAUCCACCUCAUCAACCCUCAUCUGACAGUGUUUAUCCACCUCAUCAACCCUCAUCUGACAGUGUUUAUCCACCUCAUCAACCCUCAUCUGACAGUGUUUAUCCACCUCAUCAACCCUCAUCUGACAGUGUUUAUCCACCUCAUCAACCCUCAUCUGACAGUGUGUGUUCCCAUCCUUGGGUUCGCUCAGUGCUAACUCCUACUCCCAUCUGAAUAGACACUGAACAUGAAUUUACUAAACUGAACUGGACUGAGUUUAUGGGGUUUCGUUGACUGACGAAAUACUACUGAUAUUACUAAACUACUGGACUUUCUGAGAUUUUUUAGAUUUCUGAGUCUUUCUUGAGUCACAUGACUAACUGAAAUCUAUGGACCAUGGCUUGACUAAGAGUAACAUGAAACAUGACACUAGCUCUAGUCACACAACUAUAUUUUUCGUGUAUAAAUACCCUAGGACUCGAUAGAAGGAAACUGACAAAUAUUCUGGCUUUUGAUGGAACAUUUUAUGUCUUUUCCUUAGAAUAAUUGUAUGUUUUCAAGUAACUAAUGUUGUAUCUAACAUCAUAUUUGAGUGUUUUCAGGAUAAGAGCUAAGUGUGGAGAAUAACUUGAGAAACGGGGCAAAACAAAGAAGAAAUAGGAAACAACGGUAUGCGCUGGCCCGUCGGCCUUGUGACGUCCUAUCGAUCUAUACCAUCGACACAAAGCAGAAGACAACAUUAAUGGAAGAUCCUCGAUGGUAUGAACGAUGGACCGUCAGACAUAUGAUGGACCAUCGGACAUGCGAUGGACCGUCGGACAUGCGACGGACCGUCGAUCCCCACCGUCACUAAGAGGCAGAAGAUACCAUCACUGAAGGUCUCACGACGGUACAUGCGAUGAACCGUCGGAUGCUCGACGAACCAUUAGUAUGCACCAUCGAAUCAAAAAAGAGGGUAACCUUACUGGGUAACAUCCGAUGACACAAGCAAUGAACCAUCGGACGCUCGAUGGACCAUCGAGUUGUACCAUCAAGCAUGACGCGGUAGCUCCCAAAUUUAGUUUUGAAACACAGACUUUUGGAGUCCUAUAAAUACUAAGUAUUAGGGUUUAUUUUGACAUCUUUUUCACCUUAGCCCUCAUCUUUUUAGUUUUUCUCUCCAUGUUAGCUCAUCUUUAACUUUUCCAUUUUUUAUUUUUUAGCAAAGUUUUCUAGAUCUUGAACUCAUUGUGACUUAGCAUAUUUUGGGAACUAAGCAUUAGCUUUUGAAUCUAUUCAUUUCAUCUCUAUUGAAGAUUUAAAGAUUUAUCCUUGUAACUAUUGUAAGUAAUUCUUGAAUUAUUUAUGGACAAUAUAAUGAUAUCUUUUGGUUCUUCUAUGGAAAUGUAUGGCUAAUCUCCCAUAGCUAGGGUUAUGGGAGCUUUGAUGUAAAUAACUAGUUAGGUUGUGAAUCUACUUAAGUUCCAUGAGUAAUUGAUAUUGUAUAAACCGUUCUUCACUUUAAUAAUCUUUCUUGGAUGCAACAUAGUAGAGUCAACACUACAACAUCACUUGUCCGAGAUGAAAGUGCUUGUUAGGUUACUUCAAUGAAACAAUCAUUUGUCUGAGAGGAAAAUGAUUAUUGAGCAAUGUAACGAUCUCUCUUAGAUGCAAACUUGAAAAGUAAGCCCAAGAACAUCACUUCUCCGAGAGGAAAGUGUAUGUAGGAAAAGAAAGAGUUUACAUGGACUCGAAAGGCCUUAAAUCUCAGUUUAAUGGCAAAUGCCUUAACCAGAUUUGCUUACAUGAGAACAUAGUUGAAUAAAAAAUGCAUCCUUUAAGUUCGAGAGAAUUAACGGGUGAACUAUCCACUAAGGUCGAGAGAUGAAUGGGUAAAUAAUAGGAUUCAACUUUUCUUAUAAUUGAAAGUUGUUAAUUGGAACCCCAAAGUGAUUCACAAUCCAAUCUGUUCAAACAUCUUAGUAACCAUAACCCUGGUUUUCCAUACUAUUAUAUUUAAAACCUUAAAACAAAAAUAGCAAAUUGUUUACUUGAAGUAUUUCAUACUUUCCAUUUACUCUCCAAACCCCCAUUUAUAGUAAAUUACUAACUAUCAGCUGAUUUCAUCACAAAUAACCUGUAUUGACACCAUAUUCUUUGUGGGAUUCGACUCCAACCUAGUUGGGUUCUUUAUUUGACAGCGAUCGCUUACAUACUUAAAAGAAAGGUGUAAUUUAGGUGUAUUAAGUUUUGGCACCAUUGUCGAGGAGUACGAUUGUCAAUUAAGUUUAUUUGUGGUGAUUAACUGACUAGUUAAGUUUCUGAAUUUUACUUUGUUUGUUGUUUUUGUUAGUUAUAAGCUUAUUAUGGUUGAUGCCACAAAUAAGAAGCUUAGGAGAACCUUUAUUACCGCUUAAUCCUGAACCUCAAUUGAUCGGUAGAAUGGUCAAUCAACAAGAAGUUGACAGACUAGCCGCUUUGGCUAAUUCUCAAUUACAUCAACAAAAUGCAGAUAACCUAGGGUGGGUGCCUAACCCAGAUGACGAGGACCUGGGAGAUGAUGAAUUGUUAAUGCUUGGAAAUCAAAGGCGUGCAGAAGAUAUCACUGCACUGAUAAACAUAAAUGUGUAUAGAAAUCACCCUUAUAGAGUGAGAUAAGAUCGUCAAUCGGUGCAGUAUGAUCAAUAUGAAGAGGAAGAUAAACUGGAUGGAGCAGUGGCAACCUGAUCUAUUAUUCCUCCACCAUUGGCGCCAGAUGCCAAAUUCAACAUCACCAGCACAAUGAUUCAGCUCCUUUAGCUGAAGGGAUUAUUUGGUGGACUCUCGGGGUAUGAUCCGAACAUGUAUUUAGUGAAUUUUUUCACCAUAGGCAAGUCCUUUGAAAUUUUGAGUGUUGGUCAAAAUGCAAUCCACCUCCGAUUGUUUCCAUUUUCUCUAUUAGGAGAGACAACAUUAUGGCUACCUGAACUGAUGCCAGAUUCUAUCACUGAUUGGAGGUAAUUGAGAGAUGCUUUCCUAGAAAGGUUCUUUCCACCCUCCAGAAGAGUGCAGCUGAGAGAUGAAAUUAGUAAUUUGAGGUAGCACCCAACCGAAGCUCUCCACGAGACAUGGGAAAGAUUCAAGAAGAAAUUGAUACAGUGACCGAAUCACAACAUAAAAGAUAUACACUUGAUGGAUACACUAUAUAGGGCAUUCAAUUCUAUUACGUGGUAGGUUGUGGAUAAUGCAGUAGGUGGAUUAUUUAUGACCUCACCUUCCAAGAAGCCCCACAAAUGCUCGACAGAAUAACAAAACAAAGUAGAACUUGGCAUACCAGGGAUUCUAUGGUAGCAAGCCCUGCCGUGUCUAUGGGAAUAACUGUGGAACAAAGAAGGAAAAAAGAAGAACGUGAGCAAUACAUGGCUCACUUGAAAACUCAAAUGGACUUGCUGACCAAACAUUUGAUAUUUGGUAAGAUAGAGCGAGUGAAAGCAGUCUAUGCAUAAGGGCGAGAUAAGUCAGACGAUGAAGAGAAGGCUAAUUAUAUUUAUAAUCAGGGAGAUUUCUGAGGUGAUGGCCAAGGAAACCAAGGUUGGAACUACUAUGAAAAGUCUGGUUAUAGGGACCGCGACCAAGGUACAUGGAAGAGUAGGAAUGACCAAAGUGGAUUAUAUGUUCCUCUAGAAAUCAUGAGGCUGCCACAACUAGUACGGGGAAGAUGUCCAUGGAGGACAUGCUGAUACAGAUAAUGAAAAGCCAAGAGGCACAAUCGGCUAUAAUGAAUGAGAUAAAAAGAGACCUAUCCUCUACAAACCAAAUGAUUGGUUCACGUUCCAAUUUGAUAAAAUAGCUGGAGCAUAAAUGAACCAACUAUCUAUCACAAUCAACUAGAGGAAAAGUGGCACUCUACCGAGCGAUAUAAUUCAAAAUCCUCAUAAUGAUGGUGCUUGUAUGGAAAUUACCACACAGGGUGGUAAAACAUUAUCAGGUCCUUCCGUGGGUAAAAAUAUUAAUGAUGAUGUCAUUGAAGAAGAUAAUAAUGAUAACGAGAGCCAUCCAGCUGAGGAAGAAAAGAUGGAUAAUAAUAAUACUUCACCUGACUAUAGGCGGGGUGAUGGUUGCAGGAAGAAAGAAGAAAAGAAAAAGGAAAUGGUGAUCACUACUCUCCCAAGACCACCAUCUCCUUUUCCCUAUAGAUUGAAGAAGAAGGUCGAUGAUACAAAGUUUGGCAAAUUUAUGGCAAUGCUUAAAAAAUUGAUGAUAAAUUUGCCGUUGGUGGAGGCGUUAGAACAAAUUCCAGGAUAUGCAAAGUUUAUGAAAGACCUUGUUACCAAAAAAAUGGGCAGUUAGCUUUGAGACGAAAAAUAACCUCCAUUAUUGUGGUGUUAUUGCCACAAGGUCUUUGGUGCAAAAGAAGGCGGAUCCAGGAUCGUUCACUAUUCCAUACACGAUUGACCCUCUUGAUUUUGCCAAGGCAUUGUGCUAUCUCGGUGCAAGCAUUAAUCUAAUACCACUUACUGUUUAGAAAAAGUUGGGCUUGGGAUAUCCUACAUCCACAAAUAUAUGAUUAAUAAUGGCUGAUAGGUCUGUGAAAUAGCCUAUGGGGAUAUUGUAUGACGUGCUAGUCAAAGUGGUAAAUUUCAUAUUCCCUGCAGAUUUUGUCAUACUGGAUUGUGAAGUAGACCUUGAGGUACCCAUAAUUUUGGGUCAACCUUUUCUUGCCACUGGUAGUGUGCUCAUUGAUUUGAGAGCUAACGAACUUCUAUUUAGGUUGAAUGAUGAAGUAGUUCAUUUUGAUAUGUGUCAAUCCAUGAAAUAGACUGAGAAAUGAGCGUGCUGCCUAUUAUGGAUAUUUACUAUAAAGAUAACAAGGAAGUCUCAAUAUCGAAGAAGGCUACUGUCGAACCUCUAGCAGCAGUUCUGAUGAAUUUCAACAGUGACGGCAUUGGGAAUUAUGAAGAGACUGUGUGUGCAUUGAAUAGAAUGGGGUCAUAUUCAUGUGCUCCCAAAAAGCCAGAUUUAGAUCUGAAAAAUUGGCUAACACCACCGGCUAAGCCAUCCAUUAAAGAGCCACUAGUAUUGGAAUUGAAGAAGCUGUCGAGCCAUUUGAAGUAUGUAUUUCUAUGCAGUGGAAACAUAUUACCGAUUAUAAUUGCAGCCAAUCUGAGCGAGAAACAGGUGGAAGCACUUAUUUUAGUACUUCAACAAUACAAAAGAGCAAUUGAUUGGACCAUUGCAGACAUUAUUGGCAUUCCUUCGGGCAUUUGCAGGCAUAAAAUUCAGCUUGGAAAUAUUGCAAACCAACUAUUAAACAUCAAUGGAGACUGAACCCACCAAUGCAAGAAUUAGUAAAAAAUAGAGAUUAUUAAAAGGCUUGAUGCAAGAGUAGUGUAUCCUAUCUCUGACAGCAAGUGGGCAAGUCCUGUGCAGUGUGUGCCCAAGAAAGGGGGCAUGACGGUGGUCGCCAAUAAGAAAAAUGAGUUAAUCCUACUCAGACCAGUCACUAGGUGGAGAUUUUGUAUGGACUACCGAAAGUUAAACUCGUGGAUGUUGAAAGAUCACUUCCCAAUGCCCUUCAUGGAUCAAAUGCUUGAUCUCCUAGCAGGAAGGGAAUGGUACUAUUUUCUAGAUGGAUAUUUGAGAUAUAACCAGAUUUCAAUCGCCCUCAAAGAUCAGGAGAAGAUAAUAUUCACAUGCCCAUAUGGCACAUUUGCAUUCAAGUGGAUGCCAUUUGGUCUAUGUAAUGCACCUACCUCUUUUUAGCGGUGUAUGAUGUCUAUUUUCUCCGACAUAGUUGAGGACACUUUAGAAGUGUUUAUGGAUAAUUUUUUUGUCGUUGGAGAUUCAUUUGAGUCAUGUCUUGUAUAUCUGAGCAAGGCAUUGCAGAGGUACGAGGAGUCUAACCUGGUGCUAAAUUGGGUGAAAUGAUAUUUCAUGGUAAAAGAAGGCAUCAUUUUGGGGCACCGAAUUUCAGUUAAAGGGAUUGAGGUCAAUAGAGCCAAGGUUGAAGUCAUUACGAAGUUGCCACCCUCCAUUUCAGUUAAAGAGGUGCGUAGUUUCCUUAGCCACGCAGGCUUCUAUCGAAGAUUCAUUAAAGAUUUCUCCAAAAUCAUAAAUCCAUUGUGGAAGUUGUUGGAGAAGGAAGCCAAGUUUGUAUUUGAUGAAGAUUGCAAAAAGGAUUUCGAGUGCCUUAAGGAGAAACUUGUGGCUGCUCCCAUGGUUGUUGCGCCAGAUUGGUCUAUGCCUUUUGAAAUUAUGUGUGAUACUAUUGGGGUAGAACUUGGGGCCAUGUUUGGCCAAAAGAAAGGAAAGUUGUUCCACCCCAUUUAUUAUGCAAGUAAAUCAUUGAAUGGGGCACAAAAAAAUUACUCGGUUACUGAACAGGAGCUUAUCGCAGUUGUCUACACGUUUGAGAAGUUCUGUGCAUACCUGUUGAGAACCAAGGUGGUGGUUCAUACUGACCAUACAACGCUGAGAUAUCUAAUGGCAAAAAAAGAUGCUAAGCCAAGGUUGAUACAAUGGGUGUUACUGCUACAAGAAUUUGACUUUGAAGUCAAAGAUCAAAAGGGGUGCGAGAACCACGUAGCAAACCACGUCUCUAGACUCAAAGGAUAAAAAGUGACCAAAGAUGAGCUAGAUAUUGACGAUUCUUUUCUAGAUGAAAAGAAAUUGGCUACAGUUCUUGAGAGGAUAACUUGGUAUGCAGAUUUCGCAAAUUAUGUGGUAAGUGAUAUGCAACCGGAGAACUUUUCAUUUCAGCAAAAGAAAAAGUUUCUCCGUGAUGUGAAGGAUUACUUCUGAGAUGAGUCAUAUUUGUUUCAAUGGUGUGAAGAUGGUAUUAUCAAAUGAUACAUUCCAGAAACAAAGAGGCUAAGUAUACUGGAAGCAGCUCAUGCUUCCCUAGUAAGAGUUCAUCAUGCGGGUGAUCACACCGCGUGAAAAGUGCGUCAGAGUGACUAGUAUUGGCCCACUUUGUUCAAAGACUCCUACGAGCUUGUGAAAAGAUGUGAUUAAUGCCAAAGGAAAGGUUCCAUUUCAAAACACCAUGAAAUGCCAAUGACUACGAUGCUUGAGGUAGAAUUAUUUGAUGUUUGGGGCAUUGAUUUCAUGGGGCCUUUCGUAAGCUCGUUUAGAAUGAAGUACAUAUUAGUCACUGUUGACUAUGUGUCAAAGUGGGUUGAGGCAAUAGCCUUAGCAGAUAAUGAAGGUAAAUAGGUGUUCGCAUUUUUAUAAAGGAAUAUCUUCUCUCGCUUUGGGGUAUCACGUACCAUAAUAAGUGAUGGAGGAUGUCACUUCUGUAACAAAAUAUUCAAGGCAGCCUUGGUAAAGUAUGGCGUUAAAUAGCAUAAGGUAUCCACCUCGUACCAUCCCUAAACUAGUGGGCAAGUAGAAGUCUCUAAUAGAGAAAUCAAAGCUAUCCUUGCCAAAACGGUAAAUGCCAGCAGAAAAGAUUGGUCUAGGAAGCUACACGAUGCAUUAUGGGCUUACUGUACUGCUUUUAAGACACUAAUUGGCAUGUCUCCAUACCAAUUGGUGUAUGGAAAGGCUUGUCAUUUGCCUUUUUAGUUGGAACAUAAAGAACUGUGGGCGCUAAGGUAGCUGAAUUUGAACUGGAAUAAAGCUGCAGAAAUGCGGUUGGAGCAGCUAAAUGAGUAAGAUAAGUUUCUCCUUGGGGCCUAUGAGAGAGAAGAUUUAUAAAAAGAGUGAAUAAAAAAAACCAUGAUCACUGAAUUGCAAAGCGAGACUUUUAGAAAGGCGACUUGGUACUUCUUUUCAACUCCAAACUCAAAUUGUUUCUAGGUAAACUCAAGUCUAGAUGGUCAGGUCCAUUUAAGGUAAGUCAAGUCUACUCAUCUGGAGUAGUUGAACUUCAAAGUAAAGACAGGGGUGUCUUUAAAGUUAAUGGACAACGUGUUAAACUGUAUAUCGGUCUGAAUGACUCGAUAAAUAGUGUUUUCAACAUCGAUAUUGAUGAAAUUGAGUAAUCAAGAUGUCUAAGUCAUGCUGCGACAAUAAAUCAGGUGCUAGUGGGAGGCAACCCAUAUUUUUGUUGAUUGUAUAGCAUUAUUUUUAGGUAUUUUGUUAAAUUGUUCAAAUUGAAGGGUUUGUGAAAGUAUGCAGGUGUUAAGUGCAAAGAAAUAGUUGCAAAUAGAGUUUAGAGUACACUAUGGAGGCACCCAACGGACCAUCGCCCUAUCGAUGGACCGUCGCAAAAAGUCCAAAAACCAAGAAUCUAGAAAAGUCUCGAUGGGAUGGUCCGACGGACCAUCGCACAUGCGACGGACCAUUGCAAGUCACCGUCGAAGGUUGGUACCAUGUAUGCUCACUGGAAAGUCACGACGGUAUGAGCGACGAACCAUCGCAAGUGAGAUGGACCAUCACACUCACCAUCCCACUUAACCCUAGUUCAGCGGGUCGGGUCAAAUUGUUUUAAAUAAUGGAUUUGCAAAUUCCUAUCUAUUCCAAACAUUUUUAAACUGAUAAGUUGAAGCGGUUAAGUAACUCCCAAUAUUUAAAUACACCUGUGCUUGUUCAUUCUCCCUCACACCUCUUUAUUUUCUUCUUCUUAUCUAUUUAAAGGCUUUUUUCCUAUUUCAUUUCCCUUCACAAGCAAACUAAAGUUCCUUUCAUAGAAACAAAUAUUCAUCUGUUAUUUGAAGUUCAUUGUGUAAAGUCUGAGUAGCGUAUUCAUACUGCAACAACAAGGUACGUAUUUCCUUUCUCUUUCUAUGUUUCUUCAACAUGAUGAGCAAAUCAAAAUGGGUGAAAUCAAGAUAAUAAAUGUCAAUUCUUUUUUAUGUUUCUUGGUGAUUGUUGUUUAUGUUUUUCUUUUAGUCAAAAUAUAGUAUACCCUUACAUGGUUUGCAUGCAAAGUGUUAGACAAAAUGCCGAAAUAAGUUUUGAAUAUAAAAAUUACAGGUGACGGUACCCACGAUGGACCGUUAGAGUCCCGACAAACCGUCGCAUGGCACCAUUGCAAAUAUCUCAGAAACUGACUCAUUGGCAUAACACCGAUGGUAGGGUUUGAUGGAAUGUCGCAUGCUCGAUGGACCAUCGACUUGUACCAUCGUUGGUCCAUAAAUAUUUAUUUCUUUUGUUUUGAGCCUAAAACUGAUAUAUGUUGUACUUUCAGGUACUAUGUCUCCUAAAGUACCACCAUCUAGAGGCAGAGGCAGAAGACAACUAGAUGAGCAAGCGUAAAUUUCUAAUGAACCAGCCCACAACACUCGGCAAAGUCAAAGAGUGGUCUCUUCAUCCUCCUCAUGUGAUUAGUUGGUUGAAAGCAGCAGCAGUACUUCACUUUCCAUUCCGCUUGAGUUGGGGGUUGAAACUUCUAACCCCAUUCAGGAUAAGGACCCCGAAUAAACCGAUCCAAAUAUGAUUUGAUACAAGGAUGAGAAACUAAGGGAGGCCAUAAGAUGGCAAGUAGCGGGUGCUCGCAAGAUUUUCUACCAAGGUCUAGGACCAAUGGAUAGGUUACCAGUGAAAAAAGCGAUUUUCUAGGUGCACCAAAUUGUCAAACUACCCUGAAUGAGUAUCCGAUAAUCAAGUGUCGUUUUAAUGAAUAUGAGUAGGCUUGGAUGAGUAAGCCCCUCGGAUCCUAUCAACCUCACUUGGUUCGUGAAUUUUUUACCAAUUACUUAGCCUUGUUAGAAAAAGAUUUGCCCAAGGUUGCAACUGUUGUAGAUUGGAAUAAGCUUGAUUCAGACACUGUGCAAGGAGUCGACAUUGAUAUUUUGGAGCGGACUUUGAACAGGUUUUUGUUUGGGCCGGACUAUUAGAUACCAGGGGCUAUUCCAAAGUUGGAGCAUCAACUGUUCACGCAGGAUGAACAAAGGCCUUGGUUAGAGAGAAUAUUGAUAGAUGGGGUUGAUCUUUUAUGGCUACACACCCUCCAUGCACACAUAUCAAGGAGAUCCUUGAGUUUUAGGGCCAAAUUCUGGUGGGCAAUCGUUCGGCUAAGGCUGAUGCCCACAAGGGGUGAUGAUCAUCUUGAGAGCACUAGAGCCGUGAUAAUUGCUACCUUGAGUGAAGGGUUGAUCGUGGAUUUUGCUCACAUCAUCUUUGAUGAGUUAUUCUUUUGGGCCCACAAGACUCACACGGCCUUACCAUUUCCAUACCUCAUCACCGAAUUAUGCAAAAAGGCAAAUAUUUUGUUAAUCAGUGGAGUUGAUAACGAUGUCGCAACGCUGCACAAAUAAGACAUAGAAAAGACAAAGGAUGACUCGCUGUUCGAUUUGAGAACCAACAGGCCUCCAGCUCAGCAGACUCAGUCCAUACAGGUUCCCGAACCAUCAGAUUUUCCUGUAGGUAUGCCCAUGCCUCUGACUGUAUAUGCACCUUCUGCAACCUCUUCAGGUUCAGCUUCCAUGCCGAUAGACUGGACCUCAGUCUCUACGUCUGUCCUGCCCCUACCUUCUAAGUACAGGAUGAACCCUGACAACUUUGCAAAAAUUGUGCGAAAUGUCAAAAAGAUUGAGAAGCAGAUAGCAAUUUGGCGGAAAGAUUUCAAACCCUUUGUGGAAAGAAUUGUGGAGUAGGCAUUGCGCUAUUUCUGAAACAUCCAGCUUCAUAUGGGCAACAUGGAGGAACAUAUCAAUAAAAAAUUGGAUGAAAUAUCCAUCCCUAAUUUUUCUAAAGUAAUAGAGAAGGUGAGAAAACUCUAGGCCGAUGCAGACAGGAUCAGUCAGCAGCCACAGCAGCCCACCAUAGAUCCAGCCUAGAUUCCCAGCGAUGAUGAUGAGGGUCUUAUUGACCUUUUUGGGCAUCCGAUCAAAGACAAAGGUAAACGGCAGUAGAGGCAGAUGAAAACACUGAAAGAGCAGCUAAGAAAGUUGCUAAGAAAGAAGAGAGGAAAUGCCAAAUGAAAGCUAUGUCACCUCAGGAACUCGAGGAAUUUUAGAUGCAGUAGGAAACCAAGAAGUCAAAUAAAAUAGCAGAAAGGGAGAAUAAAAGGUGUUAGGAUAAAGCAGCUGGAGUGUCCACUAGUUCUGCCCCAGUUAGGGGGUAAGUAUCAGACCUUGUUAGAGUUGUGAUACCUCCAAACAUAGAGGAUGAGAUUAUAAGUACUCCCAUCACCAUGGGGGUCAACGUUGUACCUAAUAAGUCCACUGGAACUUUACCACACUUGCUAGAUGCCUCAGAUGAGUAAGAGGUGCACCAUAAGUAUUUUUUCUUCCCUUUUUCUUAUGUCAUAUGCAUUGAGGACAAUACAUAGUUUUGUGUGGGAGAGGGAUUUGCUUGUACCAUGUGGGGUAAUGUUACCGUUGAUUAUUACCCUAUCAUGUUCUAUCUAGAAAAAUUGACAUGUCUAGGUUGUUUACAAUUUCAUCUAGGUUGUUUACAUUUUCAAGUCUUAUGUAGGACUGCACACUUUCCUUUAUUAAAUCAUGUAUUGUUAGUGAUAUGAGUUAAUGAAAUAAAAGUGUUAGUUUGUGCAGCAUCUUGUGGUAAAUACGAAUGAUAAAUGAUAUUUGCAUCAUGCGAUAACUAGUUUUAUUUUACAGCUUACUUAUGCCUUUUAAGAUAUGUGAUUGACUGUUAGUGAAUCUGUAGUUGGUAUUAACCUGAACGUUUGCAUGAAUUGUGAUGCAUAUCUUAAGAACAGUAGAAUGAAUCUAACUCAGUUUCCAUUGUGUGCGCGAGUACUUGUAUUAGUUCUUGCAUUGUAUAGUACCUAGAACUUGCCUGGUUCAAUUGAUGUUUUCCUGUAGUUGAUAGGAUAAGAAAUGAUAGUAGGACACAUUGUUUAUUUAGUCCACUUUAAGCCAAAAUAAUUAACCUUACGAAAAAUAAUUUUCCUUGUUUGAACCCUUCUUUGAGCCCUUGUAGAUCUUUUCUUUGUUAGCACCAAUUAUUCAAAUUAACUCUCUGUUUAGCUGUUAAUUAUUAGCUCUGGCCCUGGCCUAGUUAUUGGCAAUGUGUACCUAACUUUAGGUAAAAUACCUAAGUUGAGGGUGGCUACUGUAAGAUGGUUAAUUGUCUAAUGGAAAAUUGGCCUUGAAUUGGUGUAGAGCAUUUGGCCCUAGUCUAGUGAAGAUAAUGUGCACCUCAGCUUAUUGCAUCAGCAUUAGUUAAGGGUGGCUGAUGCUUGUAUGCGUAAAAAAAAGGGGUUCAUUAUGGUAAAGGAUGAAUGAGCUAGUAAAAAAGUUCGUUUGGUUAGAAGAAUUUGGAAGAACAGAAAGUUUAAUCCUAAUCUUAGUCAGUGUACCCAAAAAUUCUACCCAACCUAUCAUGAAAUCGCAUUGGAUGAUAAAAGAAAGUUUAUGGGUACAUAUGCUAUGUUAGCAACUUCUUUGAUGAGCGAGAGGGUUAUGACUUAUAUCCACAAAAAUACACUGAAAGGUGGAUCCCCUUGGCUGUGAGGGAAACUUGAGUCACGCUCAAUCUAACUACGUUCUGUAGAUUCUUGUAUCCAUGUUUGUGUAGAUGAACUAAAUUUGAAACUAUGCUGGUUAUGGAGUCUAACAUGUUAAACCAUAUAAAUUGGAUUACAAGUGAAAGGUUGUGUGAAAACUGGUGCAGUAGCAAAUGCCUGUCAUUAUGUUGUUCUUAUUUGCGAUAUUGAUGUUGAGUUGCUUGAGGACAAGCAAUUAUCUUAAGUUAAGGGUGCUGAUGUUUCGUCUUUUGACAGAAUAUUUUAGGCCUUUUCCUUAGAAUAAUUGUAUGUUUUCAAGUAACUAGUAUUGUAUCUAACAUUAUAUUUGAGUGUUUUCAGGAUAAGAGCUAAGUGUGGAAAAUUACAUGAGAAAUGGGGCAAAACAAAGAAGAAAUGGGAAGCGAUGGUAUGCGCGAUGGCCCGUCGGCCUUGCGACAUCCCAUCGAUCUAUAACAUUGACACAAAGUAGAAGACAAUAUCACUGGAAGAGCCUCGACAGUAUGAGCGACGGACCAUCGAUCCCCACCAUCACCAAGAGGCAGAAGAUACCAUCACUGGAGGUCUCGCGACGGUAUAUGAAAUAAUCCAUUGGAUACUCGAUGGACCAUCGGUAUGUACUAUCAACUCAAAGUAGAGGGUAACCUGCCUGAGUAACACGUGAUGACACAAGCGGUGGACAGUCGGAUGCUCGACAGACCGUCGAGUUGUACCGUCAAGCAUGAUGCGACAACUCCCAAAUUUAGUUUUGAAACACAAACUUUUGGAGCCAUAUAAAUACUAAUUAUUAGGGUUUAUUUGGACAUCUAUUUCACCUCAUCCCUCAUCUUAUUAGUUUUUCUCUCCAUCUUAGCUCAUCUUUAACUUUUCCAUCUUUCAUUUUUUAGCAAAGUUUUCUCGAUCUUGAACUCAUCGUGACUUAGCAUAUUUUGGGAACUAAGCAUUAGCUUGUGAAUCUAUUCAUUUCAUCUCUAUUGAAGUUUCCAGGAUUUAUCCUUGUAACUGUUGUAAGUAAUUCUUGAAUUAUUUAUGGACAAUCUAAUGAUAUCUUUUGGUUCUUCUAUGGAAAUGUUUGGCUAAUCUCCCAUAGCUGGGGUGAUGUAAAUAACUAGUUGGGUUGUGAAUCUACUUAAGUUCCAUGAGUAAUUAAUAUUGUAUAAACCUUUCUUCACUUUAAUGAUCUUUCUUGGAUGCAACAUAGUAAAGUCAGCACUACAACAUCACUUGUCCGAUAGGAAAGUGCUUCUUAGGUUACUUCAAUGAAACAAUCAUUUGUUCAUGAGGAAAAUGAUUAUUGAGCAAUGUAACGAUCUCUCUUAGAUGCAAAAUUGAAAGGUGAGCCCAAGAACAUCACUUGUCCGAGAAGAAAGUGUAUGUGGGAAAAGAAAGAGUUUACAUGGACUCGAAAGACCUUAAAUCUUAGUUUAAUGGAAAAUGCGUUAACCGGAUUUGCUUACAUGAGAGCAUAGUUGUAUAACAAACUCAUCCUUUAAGUUUGAGAGAAUUAACGGGCGAACUAUCCACUGGGUCCAGAGACGAAUGGGUAAAUAAUAGGAUUCCACUCUUCUUGCAAUUGAAAGUUGUUAAUUGAAACCCCAAAGUGAUUCACAAUCCAAUCUGUUCAAACAUAUUAGUAACCAUAACCCUGGUUUCUCAUACUAUCAUAUUUAAACCUUAAAAAAAUAGCAAAUUGUUUACUUAAAGUAUUUCAUACUUUCCAUUUACUCUCCAAACCCCCAUUUAUAGGAAAUUACUAACUAUCAGCUGAUUUCAUCACAAAUAACUUGUAUUGACACCAUAUUCUCUGUGGGAUUCGACCCCAAUCUAGCUAGGUUCUAUAUUUGACAGCAGUCGUUUACAUACUCAAAAGAGAAGUGUAAUUUAGGUGUAUCAACAUGAGACUUCUUGAACAUAUGACCAACAUCAACAAUCCAUAUUACAAUAAUUUAGGGAUUUCAUGAAGUACUUGAUUAUCACAAUUUUGUACAUGGGUAGGAAUGCAUAUAAUCAUGUCAUAAAUUCGUCCAUCUAACCUUAUGACCAUUCCAUUAACUAAUAUCAAUACAUAACAAUAGAAUGGAAGUCACUUUGAACAUAAGUGGAUAGCAUAUAUUUAUCAAUUAGUCAAAAUUAAGCUAUGGAACAUGAUUUCUAUUCUCAUAGGUAUUUUAUCAAACAACUUGCAUGCACAAACUAGGGCUUCGGCAUAAUCAUCAAAGUAACCCAUAAUCACCAAAUAAAUUCAUAGUUUUCAGCUCACAUGACAAUGUAGUUUCAUAAAAUCAUAUAAAGAUUCCAUCUUGGGAAUCAUACAGCAACAUAAUCAUGGUCAUCAUAAAUCCAUAAUAUACACAUCAUGAUAUGUAAGUUAAAAGUGGAUUCUUGAACUUCAUGGAUUAAAGGGAUCCAUCAAUAAACACUAUGCAUACCUUAGAGAUUGAGUCUUGAAAGAGAAUUGACCUUUCUUAAACGUUCUUGGAUUGGGAAUCUUAAUUCUUGAUUACCUUCUAGAGAGUGUGAUGGGGUCUUGAAGUUAAUUGAGAAGAAAACCUAAGUUUAUUCUUGGGAACAAAGAGGGUUAAGAGAUUUUGAAACUAAAUCACAAUAGAUAAGUACGUAUUUUUGGCAUUUUAUAUUGUGGGGGUAGGGUUUAGGGUGAGGGAAAAAACCAAAAUCCCCUUACAAAAUCACUUCCCAGUUGAUGAAAUUUUCAGCUGAUGACCAAGGCAGAUAAACCGUUAGAUCUAUGAUAGCCCUUCAGCCCAGGUCAUCACCUGGGAGCUAAAAUUGAUGGGUUUCUAUCUAAUUCUGACGACAUGGGCUGAUAAGCCGUCUAAUCUGUGAUAAGCCGUCAGCUCAUGUCAUCACUUAGUUGUGAGACUGACAUGCUGGAGUAAAAUGGGUAUAACUUUAUGCUCCGAUAUCGGAUUUGGGCGAAAUUGGUAUCAUUGGAAAGCUAAUUCGAUUAUUUAUCUGGUGGAUCAUGAGAUAAAAAAUUAGUAGUAUAACGAGAGAUAUGUGCAUUUGAAGUUGACUAUAGUAGUAUCCUUCCCAAGAAUUAAAUUGGUAAGAAAUGUUUUGAUCCGUAUGUUAGAUGGGAGUUAUUUAAAGUCGUAAUAUACAUCUAACUUACUCAUAAAACUAUAAAAUAACCAUGAUGUACUAUGAAUGAGCUUGAAAUUGUAACACCCAAUUUUCUAAACCAGAAUGCUACACGGUGCUCAUGACCCCGAAGGACCACAAGCUAACCCAUGACUGAUAUCUGUACCUAUAACUACAUAAUAUACGUAUAAAAAUGUGGAAACAUGAACUAAAAGGCCAUAAGGUUCAAUACUAAACAUAAUCUUGAAAAAUAAAAUGUCUGAAUAAGGUGGUAUCAUAGUACCAAAACAAAACUAAAAAUACUAAAGUCUGAAUCUGAAAACUCUAUAAUCGUCUGGAUAGCCUCUACUAUCUAGAUAAGGAGUUGAAGGAACGUGUCUCCAACUAACUCCUUAAACUGAAAAUAAACUAAAAUAUUGGAGUAAUAAUUGUAAUGAUCAUGUCCUCAAAAGAUCAGGACUCGCUGCUAACUGAACUGCUACUGCUGGUCUGGAAUCUAUGCCUCAGAACCUAUGGUGUAACAUAAAAGAAAGCACCAUAGCACAAAUGGGUCAGUACAACUAAAGUAUUGAGUAUAUGUGGGGGUAGGCUAAAUGCAUGGGGUUUAUAUGCAUGAACAUGCUGACUAAUAUGAACGUGAGAAUACAUACAUAAAUACAUAACUACUAAUGAACUCGUGGAGAUACUGACUACAAAGUUGAAUUCUGACUACAUGAAUUUACUAAUAUUGAGAUACUGAAUGACUUAGAGACUAAUAACAUAGAUGACUGUAUCUAACAGUCCUAAUUCUGGUGGAACUAUCUGAGCUCCAUACUGUGUCUAAAUAUCUGAGUCUAAGAUCAUUCCUAGCUAAUGGGUGAUCUCAGAAUAAGCUGAUAAAUAAGAAUGACCUAACUUAGUCUGAGAUCAGUCCUACCUAAUGGGUGAUCUCUGAGUCUGAAAAUACUGAUACUGGUUAAUUAUAAAUGAGAUCAGUCCUAUCUAGUGGAUGAUCUCUAAGCCUGAUGUUACUAAUAUUGAAACUAUAAUUGAGAUCAGUUUUGUCUAAUGGGUGAUCUUGGAGUCUGUUUAUAAUGAGAGGGAUUGACUGUGUCUAACAGUCCUGAGUCUGUACUAGUGAGUUGAGUUGACUGUAUCUGAUAGUCUUGAUUUCUGUAACUGAAACUGUGGGAUGUGUUCAUUUAACCGACAUGCCCUAUGCUAAGCUGAAUGGGAUCCAAUCUCUUCUCUGAUUGGAAGAGUGUAAGUACCGCGCCACCAGUAAAGAAAUCUGCUGUGGAUUCAGUCCUAAUCUAGCGGGCGAAUCCUGGGAUCAGUCCUAUUCAUAUAAAUAUGCUAAUGGGUGACCCCUGAGUAUGUCAGUCUUAUCUAACGGGUGACAUCUCGUACCUACGCUAGAUACGUAGUUCUGGAACUUAAGGAUUGCUUUUAGGGAUCUUAGUCCUAUCUAAUGGGUGAGCCCCUAUCUCUAGGUUCGCUCGGUGCUGAAUCCUACUCCCAUAUGAAUGGUACAGAAUAUGAUUAUCUGAGCUGAACUGACUAACUAAAUUGAACUGAUUAACUAAAUUGAUUAACUGAGAUGAUAGUAUUUUCUUAGCUGAGUUAAGCUAAAUUUACUGGGUUUCGCUGACUAACGAAAAAGCUACUUGAGAUCUGAGGUCUGACUGAGAGUACUGAAAGUACUGAGACUACUGAACUGCUAAGAUUUCUGAGUUUUCCUGGGCACACAGUUAUAGUUUUCGGGCACAGGUACCCCCAGGACUCGAUGGAAGGAAACUGACAUACAUGACUGACUGGAUCAUAAGAGUAGAGUCCAUAGUUCAUAAUAUCAUAAUUAGGGAUUUCAUAAUAAGCAUGAUUCUCAACAAGCUAUCACAUGGAAGGGAAUGCACACAACAUGUAUAUACUUGCAUGGCUUCAAUAUCAUGGUCAUUCCAUAUCACAACAAUAUCAUGGGCAUCUCAUACAACAUCUUCAAUUCAAGACAAUAGCAUGGGAAUCACGUUGAUCAUAAACUUAGAACAUGGAGUAGUCACUUAGAACCUAUUAUGUCAUAAAAGCAUGUUCUAGUUUCUUAGAUAUUUUCACAAACACCUUACAUGCACAUCUUAGGCAUAGGUGGAUUCAUCAAUAUUACAAGUAUUCAACCACAAAUUUCACAUAUUUAUAUAUCAUAUACCACCAUAGCUUCAUACAACAUUAAAAAAAUCCCAUCUUGGGCAGCAUCAAACUCCAACAACAUGAUCAUCAACUAUCAACAACAUAAACAUCAUAAUACAUAAUUUAGAAGAUGGUUCUUGAGCUUCAUGGACGAAAGGAGUCUAUGAAUCAACUCACGCAUACCUUAGUUAGAAGUUUCCUUGAAGUUCUACGGUAAAAUCUCUUGAUUCUUGGAGCUUUUAUGUAAACCCUUACUUGAAUUCUUGGAUGUUCUUGAGAGAAAAUUGAUGAAAGAGAUGUAUUUUAGUGUUAUGAAGCUCAAAUCCUAUGUUAUAAAGUAUAUAUAGGGUGGCAAAAGGACCAAAAUGCCCUUAGGGACACGGGGGUUGAGUGCAAAAAAACUGGGUGAGCACCGGAAUUAGCAGGCGUCGCCUGCUUAAGUGCACCGCUAUUGACCAGGCGGCACCUGCUUUAUAGCACUGUUAUAGGCCAGGCGGCGCCUGCAGAUCGCCUGGGUCUACUGUUUUAAAAUCCAAAUGAGCCCUAAAUGGAUUCCAAAAAUUCUGAAACUUAUUAGGGAUAUACUAGAACUUUGCCCCAUCGCAACGCAACUUGAAAAUUGAAAAACGAAGGUUAGAAAGGUCAUCAAAUAAAUCCCCGAAGUUUGGAGGUCUAAAAUGAGACUAAGUGUUGAAUCUUAAACACUUAGAAAAAAAAUUUUCUAAGCCUUGAAGCUCGGAAAGCUUAAUGAGCAUGAACCUUAGACUUAGGAUUUUAUGGGGUAUUACAAUAUCUCCCCCUUGGGAACAUUCGUCCACGAAUAGAAACUGACUAAGAGGAGAGAAUGAUCAACUAAAGUAUGUACAAGACAUAUGCUACUGAGACAUGGGUUAAUGACUGACAUGAUUGAAAGCUGAGCACAACAUACUGAACAUGCAUAUCUGAUGUAGGAUUAUAUGACUAACAUGAUACAUGAAGGCAUGGCUGAAAUCAGUAAUAAACUGAUCACACAUAUCUGAUGCAUGAAUGCUUAACUAAACUGGCUCAUGAACAUGCGACUGAACAUGUAGUGGUAAAGGGGUCAAGUUUGAGAUGAAAAUUGAGCAUGAAACUAAAUACUAAGUUUGAUACUGAGAUCUGAACAUGGGAAUGAAUAAGUUCAAGGAAGGCUGUUACCUUGAAUUGAACAUAUUGAUGGGUAUGAGAUUAAUUACUCAAUAUGCAUGAGAGGAAACAUGAGAACAUAACUGAGGCUAAGGCACGACAUAUAAACUGAACAUCAUGAACUGGUCUAACCUCUGAGUACAUGGCUUACGGUUGAGGCCGGUACUUUGAGGGUUAUCUUAAGAGCACCCUCUAUUCAAAACUAAAUUCAUCACGCGAAGGGAAACAAAAAGGUUUAGGAAAUAAGAGCGUUAAGAAAUGCUGGGGUAUCUCCCCCUUGAGACUCUAUGUCCCUCUAAGAAUGCUCACCUCACUGAGAUACUAGGGCGAUGCACAGGGCAUCUAUGAACUAGAUUUAACUCAACCUGAGGAGUCUGAAACUAAUGUAUGGUGCAUAAACUGAACUGGAUUGGCUGAUGCUACUAACUAACUCAUGCGAAAACAUAAGCCCAAAUGAGGGCAAGAUAUCUAACAAUGCAUACAAUAAUCAUGAAAAACUUGUAACGUACCCAAAUCUAGGUUAGGGAAACUUUCUGGAUCAUGACGGGUCGGGAGUGCAUAAAAUCUAUUCUGACAUUGGCCAUUCCUGGUGCCCUGUUGGCGCAAAUCCUUACCCCUCUGUUCUAGAACUCUACACUCUCGCAUCCUGUGUCCUGGCUUACCAUAUCCAUAACAUACAUCACUUCCUACUCUACAUGCACCUAAAUGAUUCUUACUACACUUUUUGCAAAGUGGAUAGGUAAUACCUCUACUCUCACUACCCUGGGCCUCGGAGCCUGGCGCCCCACCCCUGGACUUGGGUGCUGGUACACUAGCUGAAGAUAGAGCUGGGACUGAGAAUUUCUGACUAUUCUGGAAAUGAUUACCACCCUGUGACCCUGGUUGAGAAUAACUAUAAUUGCCCAUUUUUUCUUUCUUACUCUGCAUCUCCCUCAUCUUAACUUUUUGUUCCUCUAUUUAAUGGGCAUGAUUUAUAAUCCUAGCUAAAGUCAUGUCGCCUAUCAACAUAGUGGAUCUACAUUCAUUCACCAUGCUAUCAUUCACCCCUGGCACGAACUUACUCAUCUUAGCACGACUGUCUGCAACCACAUAAGGGACAUAUCUGGCUAAUUAAGUAAACUUUAGAGAAUACUCUUUCACCUUCAUAUUUCCCUAUCUGAGAUUGAUGAACUCUAAAACUUUUACCUCCCUCAACUCUUAGGAAAAGAAUCUAUCUAAGAAAGCCGUGACAAAUUCCUCCCACUCAACAAGACCUGCAUCCUCUAACCUUUUGGACUUAUACUAUUUAUACCAAGUGUGAGCAACAUCCUGUAAUUGGUAUAUGGCUAACUCGGAACUCUGACAAGAAGUAAUCCCCAUGAUGUCUACAACUUUUUAGACUUGAUCUAUGAAUUCUUACGGGUCCUCAUCUGACUUAGACCCUGUGAAAGAAGGAGGAUUCAUUCGGGUGAAGUCUUGAAUUCUAGCUGCAGCUGGAUUGGCCACUGGGUUGGUCGGAAUGACUGUUGGUCAUUCAUUUUAAGCAGCGAAUGAUUGAGCAAGAGUGUUAAAUAUGGCCCUUAACAACUCAUGAGAAACAUUAUCGCCCAAAGGGUCUUCCAGCUGAGGGGCUGACUAAUUCCUGUUUCUUCUUUUAGGAGGCAUGUCUUAGAAGAAAGGGAGAAAUGGAUUAGACUGAGAUUAUGCUCACUGGCACGACAUGAAUACUAAAAAAAAGGAAACUGUCCCUAAAACAUCCCAUAGCCUGUUGCACAUAAGUAUGGUGCACAACACACGUAUGUACAAGACUCUACUAGAUGCGGCUUUUAGACUUCCUAGACACUAUUGAACCUUAGGCUCUGAUACCAAGUUUGUAAAGCCUUGAUUUUCUGAACCAGAAUGCUACACGAUGCUCAUGACCCUGAAGGAUCACAAGCUAACCCAUGACUGAUAUCUGUACCUAUAACUGCAUAAUAUACGUGUAAAAAUACAAAAACAAGAACUAAAAAGCCAUAAAGUUCAGUACUGAACAUAAUCUUAAAUAAUAAAAUUUCUGAAUAAGGUGGUAUCAUAGUACCAAAACAAAACUAAAAAUACUAAAGUCUGAAUCUGAAAACUCUAUAAUCGUCUGAAUAGCCUCUACUGUCUAGAUAAGGAGUUGAAGGAAUAUUUCUCCAACUAACUCUUUAAAUUGAAAAUAAACUGAAAUACUGGAAUAAUAAUUGUAAUGAUCAUGUCCUCGAAAGAUGAGGACUCGCUGCUAACUGAACUGCUACUGCUGGUCUAGAAUCUACACCUCAGAACCUAUGGUGUAACAUAAAAGAAAGCACCAUAACGCAAAUGUGUCAGUACAACUAAAGUACAGAGUAUAUGUGGGGGUAGGCUAAAUGCAUGGGGUUUAUAUGCAUGAACAUGCUGACUAAUAUGAACGUGAGAAUACAUACAUACAUACAUACGUAACUACUAAUGAACUCGUGGAGAUACUGACUACUGAGUUGAAUUCUGACUACAUGAAUUUACUAAUACUGAGAUACUGAAUGACUUAGAGACUGAUAACAUGGAUGACUGUAUCUAACAGUCCUAAUUCUGGUGGAACUAUCUAAGCUCCAUACUGUAUCUGAAUAUCUGAGUCCAAGAUCAAUCCUAGCUAACGGGUGAUCUCAGAAUAAGCUGAUAAAUAAGAAUGACCUAACGUAGUUUAAGAUUCGUCCUACCUAAUAGGUGAUUUCUGAGUCUGAAGAUACUGAUACUGGUUAAUUAUAAAUGAGAUCAGUCCUAUCUAGUAUGUGAUCUCUAAGUCUGACGUUACUGAUAUAGAAAUUGUAAUUAAGAUCAGUUCUAUCUAAUGGGUGAUCUUAGAGUCUAUUUAUAAUGAUAGGGAUUGACUGUGUCUAACAGUCCUGAGUUUGUACUACUAAGCUGAGUUGACUGUAUCUGACAGUUCUAAUUUUUGUAACUGAAAUUGUGGGAUGUAUUCAUUUAACCGACAUGCCCUAUGCUAAGCUGAUUGGGGUAUAAUCUCUGCCCUGACUGGAAGGGUGUCAGUACUGUGCCUCCAGUAAAGACAUUUGCUAUGGAGUCAGUCCUAAUCUAGUGGGCGACUCUUGGGAUCAGUCCUAUACAUAUAAAUAUGCUAACGGGUGGCCCUUGAGUAUGUCAGUCCUAUCUAACGGGUGACAUCUUGUACCUACACUGGCUAUGCAGUUCUGGAAUUUAGGAAUUGCUUCUAGGGAUCUCAGUCCUAUCUAACGGGUGAACCCCCAUCCCUAGGUUCGAUCGAUGCUAAAUCCUACUCCCAUCUGAAUGAUACUGAACAUGAUUAUUUGAGCUGAACUGACUAACUAAACUAAACUAAUUAACUAAACUAAUUAGAUGAGCUGAUAGUAUUUUCUUAGCUGAGUUAAGCUGAAUUCACUGAGUUCCGCUGACUAACGGAAAAGCUACUUGAGAUCUGAGGUCUGACUGAGAGUACUGAGACUACUGAACUGCUGAGAUUUCUGAGUUCUCCUGAGUCACAUAACUAACUGAAAUCUUUGGAACAUAGCUUGACUAAGGAUACCGUGAAACAUUACACUGGCUCUAGGCACACAGCUAUAGUUUUCGGGCACAAGUACCCCCAGGACUCGAUGGAAGGAAACUGACAUACAUGACUGACUGGAUCAUAAGAGUAGAGUCCAUAGUUCACAAUAUCAUAAUUAGGGAUUUCAUAAUAAGCAUGAUUCUCAACAAGCCAUCACAUGGACGGGAAUGCACACAACAUGUAUAUACUUGCAUAGCUUCAAUAUCAUGGUCAUUCCAUAUCACAACAAUAUCAUGGGCAUCUCAUACAACAUCUUCAAUUCAAGAUAAUAGCUUGGGAAUCACGUUGAUCAUAAACUUAGAACAUGGAGUAGUCACUUAGGACCUAUUAUGUCAUAAAAGCAUGAUUUCUAGUCUCUUAGAUAUUUUCACAAACACCUUACAUACACAUCUUAGGCAUAGGUGGAUUCAUCAAUAUUACAAGUAUUCAACCACAAAUUUCACAUAUUUAUACAUCAUAUACCACCAUAGCUUCACACAACAUAAAAAAAAAUCCCAUCUUGGGUAUCAUCAAACUCCAACAACAUGAUCAUCAACCAUCAACAACAUAAACAUUAUAAUACAUAAUUUAGAAAAUGGUUUUUGAGCUUGAUGGACGAAAGAAGUCCAUGAAUCAACUCACGCAUACCUUAGUUAGAAGUUUCCUUAAAGUUCUACGGUGAAAUCUCUUGAUUCUUUGAGCUUUUAUGUAAACCCUAACUUGAGUUAUUGUAUGUUCUUGAGAGAAAAUUGAUAAAAAGGAUGUAUUUUGGUGUCAUGAAGCUCAAAUCCCGUGCUAUAAAGUAUAUAUAGGGUGGCAAAAGGACCAAAAUACCCUUAGGGACACGGGGGUUGAGUGCAGAAAAAUUAGGUGAGCACUGGAUUUAGCAGGUGUCGCCUGCUUAAGUGCACCACUAUUGAAAAGACGGCGCCUUCCUUAUAGCACUGCUAUAGGCCAGGCGGGGCCUGCAGAUCGCCUGGGUCUACUGUUUUAAAAUCCAAAUGAGCCCUAAAUGGAUUCCAAAAAUUCCAAAAGUUACCCGGGAUGUACUAAAACCUUACCCUAUUGCAAUGCAACUUGAAAAUCCAGAAACGAAGGUCGGGAAGGUCUUCAAAUAAAUCUCCAAAGUUUAGAGAUCUAAAAUAAGACUAAGUGUUGAAUCUUGAACACUUAGCAAAAAAAUUUUCUAAGCCUUAAAGCUCGGAAAGCUUAAUGAGCAUGAACCUUAGAUUUAGGAUUUUAUGGGGUAUUACAAAAAUAUGGAGCUACUAUUGGUUUGGAUUUUUUGGGAUAUUACAAUAUCUCUUCCUUGGGGACAUUCACCCUCAAAUAAGACUGACUAAGAUGGAAGAAAAGGUCAACUAAAGUACGUACAAGACAUACACUACUGAAACAUGGUUUUGUGACUAACAUGAUUUAUAAUCUGAAUACAUCAUAUUGAACAUGCAUAUCUGAUGUAUGAGUAACUGAUUUAUGAAUGUAUGACUGAGUGUUCUGAUAAACUGAGUUUCUUACAAUGAGAAUGCAUAUUUGAUGCAUGAUUACUUGACUGAACUGAUACAUGAAUGCAUGAUGAAAUUCAAUGGUACUUAGUACCAAGUUUCUAAUGAAAUUCUGAACAUGAAACUGAAUAGGCUUAAGGAUAACUGUUACCUUGAUCUUAGUCUACAUUAGCGGAGAAGUGGUGAGGGUACUUGGUCCGCAUAUCUUCUUCUUCUUCCCAAGUAGCUACCUCAACGGACUGAUUCCUCCAAAGAACUUUGACUAGAGGGACUUCUUUGUUCCUUAGUCUACGAAUUUGAUAGUCUAGGAUUUCAACUGGAAUUUUCUCAUAGGAGAGGCUAUUCUUAACAUCUGUGCUCUAAGGAGGGACUACAACUGCUGGGUCACCUAUGUACUUCUUGAGCAAAGAGUCAUGGAAGACUGGAUGAACUAAGUCUAGAUCUGAAGGCAACUUGAGCUCAUAAGCUACUUUGCCAAAGCGACUGAGAAUUUUUAAGGGAUCGACUAUCGGGGACUGAGUUUUCCUUUCUUGCUAAAUCUCUUCACUCCCUUUAUGGAAGAGAUAUUUAGGUAUACAUGGUCACUAAUCUCAGACUCGAGAUCCUUUACUAAAUAGGCAUGAAUAGGAAUAUGAGAAAGUGACUAAGUCUGAAACAUGAUAUAUGAACUGAAUGCUGUGAACUGGAUAUCAUGAACUGAACCAAGUCUGUAAAUAUGUGUCUCAUGACUGAGAUUGAAACUUGAGGGCUAACUUAUGAGUACCCCUUACUCCAAACUGGAUUUAUUACAUGAAGAAAGAAUGGGAUGUUAUGUCAUAAAAAUUUGGGGGUUCAUAGUAUAUCUCCCCUUUAGGAUGCUAUAUCCCUUGAAGAAUGCUGACUUGUUUGAGAUACUGAGGAAAACCGAGGAGGUAUGAAAGGCACCUACGAACUAAAUCAUGAUUGAAUGUCAGGGAUCUAAAACUGAGCCAUGAUACAUGAACUAAGUUGAGCUUGUAUAUUUAUAGCUGUUUAAUCUAAGAAUGGUUACAUUCAUAAAGCUUCGGAUAGUACAUCUAGAUGGAAGGGAUGGGAACCUAAGCCAUGCGUACUUGUCCGUUUAACUGCUAAACUGAAUUUCUAGCCUUACGGACUAACUCAUAUUGAAAACUUAUAAUAGAUGGGAGCCUUCCUCUAAUACUCUUUCUGUAGAGUUCUAAUGACUUUGGGAUGCAAGGAAACCUUGGAGUGAUCUAAUUAAAAUAGCUAAAUAAGAAAAUCAUCAUUUGGAUAAAUUUCAGUAAGAUGAGUUGAGGCCUACGAACAUGAUUUAAGAUAAAGUGACUAAGCCUCCCGUAUUGCAAUUGAGACUACUAAAAUAUUCACUUGGGUGAUGAGCAUGAGUGCAAAAAUAUACUAAUUUAUCUGGUUAACUAAAUAAUAGAUAGCUGAAUACUAGGUCUGCUAAGCUAAACUUUACUUAAUCUGAAUAACUAGACUGAGACUAUAGAGUAUUAUACAUAGGAGGUAAGGACUAGCUAAGUAACAUGAGCUGACUAAGCAUGAAUUCAUGAAUUCUGUAUUAUUUGUAAAUGUGAGUCCAAGUGUACUACAUGAUUUGGAAAAAUUCCAUAGACUGAGGUAUUGAAAUACCUAUAACUGAGUAACUAAUAACUGUACAUUAUGGUCAAGUAAGUCUGAAAUUAAACUGAGUUUUUUGAUUCGAUUAUGGAACUGAAGCUGACACUAUAACUAAGAUUGUAACUAGGACUCAUAAUGGAGCUAAAUGCUGAGUUUUAAUAGUUGAAUACUGAUAACAGAACGUUUAUAACUAUGGUUUAGACUAAUACUAAAGUACUAAAUUCUAAGAUUGAACACUGAUUACUGGAUACUGAAUACUGAAACUAUAACUGAGAUGGCAACUGAGUUUUCAUAGUACGUGAUAGGGACUGACAUAAGUCAAGGAUCUGAAUAUACAUUCACACUUUGUACUUUCCCAACUUCUAAAUACAACCUCCUGCUAACCAUUUACUUGUACUCUAUUCAACACAUGUUUUCCUUACUAAACACAUUAUCUGCUACUAUUUCCUCAUAUACUACUAAUAUCAUAUUUCCUAAUUCACAUCUACCUCUACACACUUAAUAUCAAAUCAACAGUCUUAAUUUCUUGCUUGCACUAUUCAAGCCUACUGAUUUACUUUGGUACAACUAUCCCUAUGAAUACAUAAUCUUUUCAAUCUGGAUGAUAUUAUCCCAACUCUACUACUGCCAAACUCCUGGGUUCAUCCUUCUAACUCUAGGUCUAUGAUAUCAUAAAAUUCUGAGAAGGGAUCUGAUGGCAUAUCUAAAUUCAGUUUUAAGAAUAAGUUCUCAUGUUCAUGAAUAAAAUCUAUACAACUUUGGGAUAAAACUGGACUGAUGGGAUACUUUGAGUCUGUGACCAAUCCCAUAACUGACUGCAGGGACUGUCUUAGAAAGCCCUAUCUCUAGGACUUAAGCUUCACUAUUUAUGGUACCUUAAAAGUAAGGUGGAGUAGACAUAAGUAAAGCAUGAUGAGAAUCUAUAUGAGUUUCUUAGAGGACGUUUCUAUAGCAUGAUCUGAGAUAUGAAAGAAGGGAAACUAUUCCUAAAACAUCUCAUAGCCUCCUGCACAUAAGUGUGGUGCACAACACACCCAUGUAUAAGAUGCUACUAGAUGCAGCUUUCAGACUUCCUAGGACACUGUUGAACCUUAGGCUCUGAUACUAAGUUUGUAACUCCUCAAAUCUGGUACUCGGAAUGCUAAGGACCAUAAGUUAACCCAUGACUGAUAUCUGUACCUGUACUGUACAACCCUGAAAUUUUUUUUAUUGAAAUUUUAUGUGUAAACGUAUUGGGUUCUAUCUUCUAGAAUGAAUUAUAAAUUUUUCGUAAAAAAUGUCUUAGAAUAUAACCCACCAUUGCGUAGAUUAUCGAAUAAGAUUUACGAUGAUAUGUGGAUCAUCCAAAAUGGACACCCGAGCGACGAGUUAUGAACAUUUCGAUCGAACUGUGAAUAGUAGUGAACAAUAAAUCGUGUAGGAAAAAGUACUGAGGCCUGGCGUAUUUUUCCUCCAAAUUUAAACAAUCAUAACUCCUUGUAAAUAAUGAUAUGGGUGAUCUACCAUAUAUCAACGGAAAGCUCUGCGAGUCCUCUUUCUAAUGAAAUUGGUUUCAUCCAAUUUUUCUAUCGUAGCAAAAAGUUAUGGUCGAUCUACUUCAGCCUAUCAAAAGAGAAUUUUUGGGUCAACUCUAAUGAUCAUAACUCCUCGUACACAAUGAUCUGGGUGAGAUACUAUAUAUCAACGGAAAUAUAUGAGAGUCCUCUUUCUAAUGAAAUUGGUUUCAUCCAAUUUGGAUAUCGGAGCAAAACGUUAUGGUUGAUCUACUUCAGACUAUCAAAACAGUCCACCAAAGGACAGAUUCAAGAAUUUUUUUUAUUUUUAAGGGCGUUUUGGUUAUCCCCCCUCAUCCAAAAUCCCUCCAAACCCUAUAUUAAAGCCUAUUAGAAGUAUUAUAUGUUAUAUUUCAUCAAAUUCCCUCAAAAAGAAAACUCUAAGCUCCUACAUCCAACUUCAAGAACCUCCAAAGUUUACCAUUAAUUCUGUAAAUUUAUUUAAGAUUCCAAGUUCCUAGUUCAAGAACUCCAAGAACCAUCAUUCAAAGGCACGAUUAACAUCUCAAAAAUGAGUAUCGAUCUAAAGUUCAUCAUUCAAGGUAUGUGGGGUUUUUCAACAAGAACUCUCUUUCGUUCUUGUGCCCAAAAGUAAUUUUCUUUACAAAGGCAUGAUUUUUAUUUGAUUUUUACGAAUUUGAAGCAUGAACCCAUAUCUUAUGAUGAUUAUUAUGAAAUCUUGAUGUUUAUGAUUUUGAAAGAUGAAUUUACAUGUGUGGAGAUAUAAAGCAUGAAUCUUGAACGAUAUUUAUCAUGAUUUUGAUAUUUGGGUCAUGAAUCCCCAUUGGAAAUUGUGUUUUUUGAGAAAGUGUGUGUUAUAAGCACGUUGAUGUUGAAUAUUUAAGAUAUUUUGAAUGAUUUGACCUUUUGAUCUUAAUGGAGUUGUUUUGAACUCGAGUGUGAAACAAAUCCACAACGUGGUUGAUUUUGAUAGAUGGGAAGCAUAAUGGCUCCCGAUGUAUAUUUAUAUAUUACUGAAAUUAUGUUGUUGUGGGUUGUCUUUGAAAUGAUUUGAGCAAAGUUCGGGAGAAAUCUUUAGCACCGAGUGGGAGGUAUAAAACGACCUUACUUCCCUAGAACUAUGUGCCCCCGUAGGAGUGAGCNNNNNNNNNNNNNNNNNNNNNNNNNNNNNNNNNNNNNNNNNNNNNNNNNNNNNNNNNNNNNNNNNNNNNNNNNNNNNNNNNNNNNNNNNNNNNNNNNNNNNNNNNNNNNNNNNNNNNNNNNNNNNNNNNNNNNNNNNNNNNNNNNNNNNNNNNNNNNNNNNNNNNNNNNNNNNNNNNNNNNNNNNNNNNNNNNNNNNNNNNNNNNNNNNNNNNNNNNNNNNNNNNNNNNNNNNNNNNNNNNNNNNNNNNNNNNNNNNNNNNNNNNGCUAUGUGAGUCUUUCAUACAUCCUGCAUAUUUCUUAUAAAUAUUUAUGAUGAUGAUGUUUAUAAAACUGCAUACACCCCCAUAUACUCGGUUCCUUUCCAUGGUACUGACCCACAUCUUUGGAUGUGGGCUGUAUUUCUCGAAAUGUAGGUUCAGGUGCUCAGUUCCAGGUUCGACGAUGAUUCUUCGGGCACGCUGUUCUACAUCCUCUGUUGUGGUGAGUCCUCAUAUUCCGAGGACGUGAUGUCUGAUAUUGGUUUCACGGAAUUAUUUAUAUUUGAUAACUGAGUAUGAGUCAGUUGGGGCAUGUCUCAAUGGCUCACUGGUUUUAUUGAUUUUCUUAGAGGCUUGUCAGACUAGUAUAGAUGUUAGGAGUUGACUAAUAAGUCAUAUUUUGUUAUCUUUCUAAAAUUCUUUUAUUCUUAGAUGAUGAUCACUAUUUUGAUAUUUGAGGGUUAUUUAUGAAAAUCCUAUUGAUUUGUGUUGAACUGAAUGAAAAUGGCUCAAAGGGUUAGCUUAGGGAUACUCGUAGCCUUAAGCACCGUGUGACGCUCCGGGACCCAUUUUUCGGGGCAUUACAAACUUGGUAUCAGAGCCUAAGGUUUUAAGGUAUCCUAGGGAGUCUGAUAAACCGCGUUAAGUAGAGUCUUGAUCAUCAGUGUGUAACACGCCACAUCUAUGAGCAAGAAGCUAUAAGACGUUUUAGGAAAAAGUGUAAUUCUUUCUUUUAGAAGUCUAUCAUGCUUAAAGUGUCUCUCUCUGCUAUUGAUUUGUUCUCUCUUUUUUCAGAAAUAUGCCUCCACGUCUAGCGAGAAGAAAUAAUAAUGGUCAGCAACCUUAACCCACUGACCCAUUGAAUGAAAAUGUGUCUCAUGCUAAAUUUUGAGCAGUCUUUCAGGCACUGGCCCAAGCUGUUACUAUAAAUAUUCAGGCCAACCCGGCCCCGACUCCACAGCAGCAGGGAGGUAAUUCAGCUGCUUCCAGGAUCCGUGACUUCAUGCAGAUGAAUUUGCCAAAAUUCUAUGGGUCCAAGUCUGAUGAGGAUCCACGAUUAUUUUUAGAGGUGGUGCAGAAGAUUACUCAGGUGAUGCAUGUAUCUGAGGAACAUAGUGUGGAGUUGGCUGCGUAUAGGUUGAAAGACCUUGCUUAUGACUGGGUUGUUGCUUGAAGGAAAUGUAGAGGUAAGGGAGCUAUCCCUACAACUUGGCAAGAGUUCCAGGAUACAUUCCUGGAUAAGUUUUUCCCUUUGGAGAUGAGGGAGGCGAAGGUGGAAGAGUUUAUGAACCUGCGACAGGGCUCUAUGACUGUUAGGGAGUACUGUCUAAAGUUCAAUUAGUUGGCCAAGUAUGCUUCGGACUUAGUAGCUGAUAAUCGGGCUAGUAUGAGUAAGUUUGUGACUGGAGUUUCUAGUUAUGUGGUUAAGGAGUGUAGGUCUACUAUGCUAAAUAGUGAGAUGAAUCUUUCUAGGAUGAUGAUUCAUGCCCAACAGAUUGAGGCAAAAAAGAUUAAGAAGAGAGAUAGAAUGAGAGGGAAUAAGAGAGCUAGGUUCGAGCAGCACGAACAGGGUUAGACUAGAUCACAGAGAGGGAGUCGCCCUCAGUAUUAGGAUCGUUCAUCUAUGCCACCACCAUCAUCUACUUGUUCUCCCGUGCGUAGAGGUAGGCAGGAGUAAGGUAGCAGGUCAUAUGCAUCCAGGUCCCAGUAUAGUGCUGGCAGUAAGCCAAAUCGUCCCCUAUAUCCUAAGUGUGGUAGGGCUCAUUUGGGUGUGUGUUCGGGUGAGAAGAGGGGUUGUUUUCGAUUUAGUGACAUGGGUCACAGAGUUAGAGAUUGUCCACAGGAUGGACAAGGGCAUCGUGACUAUCUCCAUCCGACCCAGACUCAGACUGUUAGUGCUCCAGUUCCAGCGACUCGCCCAGCCCCAGCUCAGGGCGCCUCUUCUAGCAAUGCUGGCGGGCAACGCCAGAAUAGAUUCUAUGCUUUACCGUCCUGCCAAGAACAGAAGGACUCUCCCGAUGUUGUUACUGGUAUGCUUCGUAUAUUUUAGUUUGAUGUGUAUGCUUUGUUGGAUCCUGGAUCCAGUUUCUCAUAUGUUACACCUUUGAUUGUUGUGAAUUUUGAAUUGAGUCCUGAGAUUAUUCCUGAGCCUAUCCUAGUUUUUACCCCAGUGGGUGAUUCGAUUGUUGCCCAGAAAGUGUAUAAAAAGUGUCCUGUUAUUGUUCUUCAUAGAGUCUUGUUGGCUGAUCUGAUUGAGUUAUACAUGGUAGAUUUUGAUGUGAUUCUGGGUAUGGACUGGCUGUAUUCUUCUUAUGCCUCUAUUGAUUGUCUGACCCGAGUGGUCAAUUUUCAGUUUUCGAGUGCAUCCGUGUUUUAGUGGUUUGGGAAUUCUAUGUCACCCAAGAGUCAUUUUAUCUCCUACCUCAAAGCUAGAAAGCUUAUUUCCAAGGGGUUUAUUUACCAUUUGGUUAGAGUCAAAGACACUAAGUCUGAGACUCUAACUCUCCAGUUUGUUAACGUCGUCAAUGAGUUUUCUGAUAUCUUUAAAAAUUCCGAGAAUAGAUGAUUUGUUUGACCAAUUGCAAGGUGUAAUUUAUUUCUCAAAGAUAGACCUUCGUUCCGGCUAUCAUCAACUCAAAGUUAGAGAGUGUGACAUCCUGAAAACCACUUUCUGAACUCAUUAUGGCCAUUUUGAGUUUCUUGUUAUGUCUUUCGAGUUAACUAAUGCCCCACCAGCUUUCAUGGACCUCAUGAAUCAGUGUUCAGACCAUAUCUGGAUAUGUUUGUUAUAGUGUUCAUCGAUGAUAUACUGGUGUACUCCCGUAGUGAGGAUGAACAUUUUGAUCAUCUCCGAACUGUCUUGCAAACCCUUAGAGAUAACAAGUUAUUUGCUAAGUUCAGUAAGUGUGAGUUUUGGCUAAGGUCAGUUGCUUUUCAGGGUCAUAUCAUUUCUUUCGAGGGUAUUAAAGUUGAUACCCAAAAGACCGAAGCUAUUAGAAAUUAUCCUAGACCUAUUUCUCCGACUGAUAUCUGAAGUUUCUUGGGUUUAGCUGGCUAUUACCGCUAUUUUAUUGAGGGUUUCUCCUCUAUAGCGUCUCCUAUGACUCGGUUGACACAAAAGAAGGUUAAUUUCUUGUGGUUCGAAUCUUGUGAGAAGAGUUUUUAGGAGUUGAAGACUCGACUCACUUCAGCCCCUAUUUUGACUUUGCCUGAUGGUGUUGAUGGUUUUGUGGUGUAUUGUGAUGCUUCAAGAGUUGGGUUGGGUUGCGUAUUGAUGCAGACGGGUAGGGUGAUAGCUUACGCUUCUACACAGUUGAAACGCCAUGAGAAAAAUUACCCCACCCAUGACCUUGAGUUGGCUGCUGUUGUGUUUGCUUUGAAAAUCUGGAGAUACUAUUUGUAUGGUGUCCAUGGUGAUGUUUUCACUGAUCAUAAGAGUUUGCAGUAUGUGUUUACCCAGAGAGAAUUGAAUCUUAGGCAGAGACGAUGGUUAGAAUUAUUAAAGGACUAUAAUAUGAGUAUGUUGUACCAUUCGGGCAAAGCUAAUGUUGCAGCGGAUGCCCUAAGUAGAGUGUCCAUAGGAAGUGUUUCGCAUGUGGUAGAAGGGAANNNNNNNNNNNNNNNNNNNNNNNNNNNNNNNNNNNNNNNNNNNNNNNNNNNNNNNNNNNNNNNNNNNNNNNNNNNNNNNNNNNNNNNNNNNNNNNNNNNNNNNNNNNNNNNNNNNNNNNNNNNNNNNNNNNNNNNNNNNNNNNNNNNNNNNNNNNNNNNNNNNNNNNNNNNNNNNNNNNNNNNNNNNNNNNNNNNNNNNNNNNNNNNNNNNNNNNNNNNNNNNNNNNNNNNNNNNNNNNNNNNNNNNNNNNNNNNNNNNNNNNNNNNNNNNNNNNNNNNNNNNNNNNNNNNNNNNNNNNNNNNNNNNNNNNNNNNNNNNNNNNNNNNNNNNNNNNNNNNNNNNNNNNNNNNNNNNNNNNNNNNNNNNNNNNNNNNNNNNNNNNNNNNNNNNNGCCAUCAUGAUUCCAUUUGGAUUGUGGUUGAUAGAUUGACUAAGUAUGCUCAUUUCUUGCCUGUUCAUACUUUAUAUACUGCUGAGGAUUACGCUAGAUUGUAUAUCCGAGAGCUAGUCAGACUGCAUGGAGUUCCCUUGUCUAUCAUUUUGGAUAGGGGUACUCAGUUCACUUCACAAUUUUGAAAAGCUUUUCAGAAUGGUCUUGGUACCAAAGUGCUUUUGAGUUCUAUUUUUCAUCCACAGACCGAUGGUCAGGUUGAGCGGACCAUCCAGACCUUAGAGGAUAUGUUGAGAGCUUGUGCACUUGACUUUAAGGGAAGUUGGGAUGAUCACAUACCGUUGAUAGAGUUUGCUUACAAUAAUAGUUUCCACUCUAGUAUUGGCAUGGCUCCGUUUGAAGCCUUAUAUGGGAGGAAGUGUAGAUCACCCAUAGGUUGGUUCGAGGUGGGUGAAGUGGCUGUGAGUGGUCCUGAUUCGGUAUUUGAGGCUAUGGAAAAAGUUAAGUUGAUUAGGGAAAGGUUGAAAACUGCGCAGAGUCGUCAGAAGUCAUAUGCGGAUGUUAGAAGGAGAGACCUUAAGUUUGAAGUUGGUAACCUAGUGUAUAUGAAAAUUUCACCCAUGAGGGGGUUGAAGAGAUUCAGAAAGAAUGGGAAGCUUAGUCCCAGUUAUAUUGGUCCUUACAAAAUUCUUAGCCGUGUUGGUAAGGUAGCUUAUGAAGUCGAGUUGCCUUCUGAGUUGUCCUCUGUUCAUCCAAUAUUCCAUGUCUCCAUGCUUAGAAAGCAUAUUAGCGAUGCUGUGGUAGUGGAUUCCUCUGUGAGUGCUGACAUUCAAGAAAAUCUUUCCUUUGAUGAGAUUCCUGUUGAGAUUCUUGAUUUCAGUGUCCGAAGACUAAGGAACAAAGAAGCUCCCUUGGUCAAGGUGUUGUGGCGAAACCAAUCUGUUGAGCGUGCAACUUGGGAAGCUGAGGAGGAUAUGUGAUCCAAGUACCUGCACCUAUUUUCCGUGAACUUCAAUCAAGCCGAAGGUACCGUUCUUUCCUAAAUCAUGUACUUUUGAUAAAAGUUGCAGCAGUUCAGUUGUCAUUUAUUAUGUGUUCAGCUGUAGUUUCUUGAAUUUAUGCAUUCUAUGUUGCAUUCUGAGUGAGAAACGAUGUGGUGAUGAGUCUAACGAAUGGUUUCAGCUGUAUGCUCUAUUCCCUAUCUAAUCAUUCGAGGACGAAUGUUUCCAAGGGGGGAUGAUGUAAUAUCCCGGCAAAUUUUUCGUUGAAAUUUUAUACGUAAAUGUGUUGGGUUCUAUCUUUUAGAAUGAAUUAUAAAUUUUUCGUACGGAAUGUCUUAGAUUAUGACCCACCAUUGAGUAGAGUAUCGAAUAAUCUUUCCAACGAUAUAUGGAUCAUCCAAAACAGACACCCGAGCGAAGAGUUAUGAACAUUACGAUCGAAAUGUGAAUAGUACUGAACAGUAAAACGUGCAGGAAAAAGUACUGAGGCCUGGCGUAUUUUUGCUCCAAGUUUAAAUGAUCAUAACUCCUUGUACAUAAUGAUCUGGGUGAUCUACUAUAUAUCAACGGAAAGCGCUGUCAUUCCUCUUUCUAAUGAAAUUAGUUUCAUCUAAUUUGUCUAUCGGAACAAAAAGUUAUGGUCGAUCUACUUCAGCCUAUCAAAAGAGAAUUUUUGGGUUAACUUCAAACGAUCAUAAAUCCUCGUACACAAUGAUCUGGGUGAGAUACUAUAUAUCAAUGGAAAUAUAUGAGAGUCCUCUUUCUAAUGAAAUUGGUUUCAUCCAAUUUGUACAUCGGAGCAAAACGUUAUGGUUGAUCUACUUCAGACUAUCAAAACAGUCCACCAAAGGACGGAUUCGAGAAUUUUUUUUAUUUUUAGGGGCGUUUUGUCAUCCCCCCUCACCCAAAAUCCGUCGAAACCCUAUAUUAAAGCCUAUUAGAAGCAUUAUAUGUUAUAUUUCAUCAAAUUCCCUCAAAAAGAAAACCCUAAGCUCCUACAUCCAACUUCAAGAAUCUCCAAAGUUCACCAUUAAUUCUGCAAAUUUAUUCAAGAUUCCAAGUUCCUAGUUCAAGAACUCCAAGAACCAUCAUUCAAAGGCACGAUUAACAUCUCAAAAAUGAGUAUCGAUCUAAAGUUCAUCAUUCAAGGUAUGUGGGGUUUUUCAACAAGAACUCUCUUUCGUUCUUGUGCCCAAAAGUAAUUUUCUUUACAAAGGCAUGAUUUUUAUUUGAUUUUUACAAAUUUAAAGCAUGAACCAAUAUCUUAUGAUGAUUAUUAUGAAAUCUUGAUGUUUAUGAUUUUGAAAGAUGAAUUUACAUGUGUGGAGAUAUAAAGCAUGAAUCUUGAACGAUAUUUAUCAUGAUUUUGAUAUUUGGGUCGUGAAUCCCCAUUGGAAAUUGUAUUUUUUUNNNNNNNNNNNNNNNNNNNNNNNNNNNNNNNNNNNNNNNNNNNNNNNNNNNNNNNNNNNNNNNNNNNNNNNNNNNNNNNNNNNNNNNNNNNNNNNNNNNNNNNNNNNNNNNNNNNNNNNNNNNNNNNNNNNNNNNNNNNNNNNNNNNNNNNNNNNNNNNNNNNNNNNNNNNNNNNNNNNNNNNNNNNNNNNNNNNNNNNNNNNNNNNNNNNNNNNNNNNNNNNNNNNNNNNNNNNNNNNNNNNNNNNNNNNNNNNNNNNNNNNNNNNNNNNNNNNNNNNNNNNNNNNNNNNNNNNNNNNNNNNNNNNNNNNNNNNNNNNNNNNNNNNNNNNNNNNNNNNNNNNNNNNNNNNNNNNNNNNNNNNNNNNNNNNNNNNNGUGUUUCCUUGUGUGUAUGGUGAAUGGUGAAGUGAUUUGAAAGUGGAAUUGUGAAAGUUAAUCUUUCGAAAGAUUUAAAUGAUAUUUACAUUAUGAGAAUUGAUAUUCUUGAUGAACUGAAAGUGAUUCACAAAUUAUAUGAUGACUCACAUAUGUUAUUAUACUUAUUUCAUCCUCUCAUGAUUAUGAUGAUUUUCUUCGGGCUGUGUGAGCCUUUCAUACAUCCUGUAUAUUUCUUAUAAAUAUUUAUGAUGAUGAUGUUUAUAAAACUGCAUACACCCCCAUAUACUCGGUUUUUUUCCAUGGUACUGAACCACAUCUUCGGAUGUGGGCUGCAUUUUCUCGGAAUAUAGGUUCAGGUGCUCAGUUCCAGGUUUGACAUGAUUCUUUGGGCAUGCUGUUUCACAUCCUCUGUUGUGGUGAGUCCUCAUGUUCUGAGGACGUGAUGUCUGAUGUUGGUUUCACGAAAUUGUUUACAUUUGAUAACUGAGUAUGAGUCAGUUGGGGCAUGUCUCAAUAGCUCGCUGGUUUUAUUGAUUUUCUUAGAGGCUUGUCAGACUAGUAUAGAUGUUAGGAGUUGACUAAUAAGUCGUAUUUUGUUAUCUUUCUGAAAUUCUUUUAUUCUUGGAUGAUGAUUACUUUAUUGAUAUUUGAGGGUUAUUUAUGAAAACCCCGUUGAUUUGUGUUGAAAUGAAUGAAAAUGGCUCAAAGGGUUAGCUUGGGGCUACUCGUAGCCUCAAGCACCGUGUGACGCUUCGGGAGCCAUUUUCUGGGGCGUUACAUGUACAUUGAAUAAUAUACUAAAAGAUAUAUGCAAAAUAUAAGUUGUAAGUCCAUAAGGUUCAAAACUGAAUAAACAUCUGAUAAAAAAAAUCUAAAAAUGGUAUAACAAUAUCCAAAACUGAUAAUAAUUGUCUGAUAUGCUAUAGUUUGAAAGCCUCUAACUGUACUGAAUAAGGAGCUGAAAGAACAUGUCUCCAACUAACUCCAUCUACUGAAAGCUAACUAAAAUAAUGAAAUAACAAAUAAUCAUAUCCUCCUCGAAUGAUGAGGACUCACCGCUAAUCUACUGCUAUUAAAGUCUGGAAUGCUACUGACGCUCUAGAUCUCGUGCUGCUGAACCUAUGGUAUAAAAAUACCAUAGCACGAAUGUGUCAGUAUGACUGAAUGUACUGGUAUGCAAGUGAGGUAGGCUAAAUGCACGGGGUUCAUAUGCAUGAACAAUACUAACUGACUGACUAAUAUGAAUGUAAGAAUACAUGCAUGAAUACGUAACUGUAACUGAAUCAUAAUAGAACUGAAUAUCGAAUUCUGACUACUAAGUCUACUGAUAACAUGGAUUUACUGAUAUGAGUUUACUGAUAUUGAUAACUGAGUGACUAUUUCUGACAAUUUUGAUUAUGAAGAACUAAUUUGAUUGACUAUAUGUAACAAUCCUAAAUCUGAAUACUGAUAACAUAAGUGACUGUAUCUGAUAGUCCUGAUACUAAUGGAAAUAUCUGAGUUGCGUUCUGAGCUGAGUUGACUAUAUCUGACAGUCCUAAAAUCUGAAGAACUAUUUGAGUUCUUUUACUGAGACUGAGACUGAGACUGUGGGAAUUAGUCAUCUAACCGACAUGCCCUUAAUACGCCAUUAUGGCUGAGUUGGGGUCAAAUCUGUAACCCUAAUUAGGAAGGUGUCAAUAUCGCACUAUUGGUAAGGACAAACUGUGGGUGACCCUCAUCUAAUAGUGUCCCCAAAAAAGAAUGGUGGGACCCUCAUCUGACAGUAUUUAUCCACCUCAUUAACCCUUAUCUAAUAGUGUUGAUAUCUCAACCUAUGCUGGCUACAUAGUUCUGGAAUGCAAGGAUUGCUUCUAAGAAUCACACCCUCAUUUGACAGUAUGUGUUUCCAUCCUUGGGUUCACUCGGUGCUAACUCCUACUCCCAUCUGAAUAGACACUGAACAUGAAUUUACUGAACUGAACUGGACUAAGUUCAUGGGGUUCUGUUGACUGGUGGAAUACUACUGAUAUUACUGAACUAUUGGGCUUUUUGAUAUUUCUGAGAUUUCUGAGUCUUUCUUGAGUCACAUGAUUGACUGAGUUCUAUGGAUCAUGGCUUGACUGAGAGUAACAUGAAAUAUGACAUUGACUCUAGGCACACAACUAUAUUUUUCGGGUAUAAAUACCCUCAGGACUCAAUAUACGGAAACUGACAAGACAUGACACUUCUUGAACACAUAGCCAACAACAACAGUCUAUACUACAAUAAUUUGGGGAUUUCAUAAAGUGCUUGAUUAUCACAAUAUUGUACAUGGGUGGGAAUGCAUAUAAUCAUGUCAUAAAUUCAUCCAUCUAACCUCAUGAGCAUUCCAUCAACUAAUAUUAAUACACAACAAUAGCAUGGAAGUCACUUUGAACAUAAGUGGAUAGCAUAUAUUUAUCAAUUAGUCCCAACUAAGAUAUGGAACAUGAUUUCUAUUCUCUUAGGCAUUUUAUCAAACACCUUACAUGCACAAACUAGGGCCUAGGCAUAAUCAUCAAAGUAAUCCAUAAUCACCAACUAAAUUCUUAGUUUUAUACUCACAUGACAACGUAGUUUCAUAAAAUCAUAUAAAGAUUCCAUCUUUGGAGUCAUACAACAACAUAAUCAUGGUCAUCAUCAAUCCAUAACAUAAAUAUCAUGAUAUAUAAGUUAAAAGUGGAUUUUUGAACUUCAUGGAUUAAAGGGAUCCAUGAAUAAACACUAUGCAUACCUUAGAGAUUAAAUAUUGAAAAAGAAUUGACCUUUCUUGAACGUUCUUGGAUUGUGAAUCUUAAUUCUUGAUUACCUUGUGGAGAGUGUGAUGGGGUCUUGAAGUUACUGGAGAAGAAACCCUAAGUUUUUUUCUUGUGAACAAAGAGAGUUAAGAGCUUUUGAAACUAAAUCACAAUAGCUAAGUACGUGUUUUUGGCGUUUUAUGUCGUGGGGGUAUGGUUUAGGGUGAGGAACAAGACCAAAAUACCCCUACGAAAUUACUUCCCAGUUGCUGAAAUUUUCAGCUAACGACCAAGGCUGAUAAGCCGUUAGAUCUGUGAUAGCCCGUUCGCCAGGUCAUCGCCUGGGAGCUGAAAUUGAUGAGUUUCUAUCUAAGUCUGACGACAUGGGCUGAUAAGCCGUUAAAUCUGUGAUAAGCCGUUAGGUCAUGUCGUCACUUAGUUGCCAGGCUAACAUACUGGAGUAAAAUGGGUAUAACAUUUUUCUCUGAUAUCGAAUUUGGGAAAAUUGGUAUCGUUGGAAAGCUAAUUCAAUUAUCUAUCUGUUGGUGGGUCAUGAGCUUAAAAAUUCAUGGUAUAAUGAGUGAUAUGCUCAUUUGAACUUGACUAUAGUAAUAUCCUUCCCAAGAAUUCAAUCGAUUAGGAAUGUUUUGAUUUGUCUGAUAGCUGAGAGUUAUUUGAAGCCGUAAUAUACAUCUAACUUUCUCAUAAAACUAUAAAAGAACCAUGAUGUACUAUGCAUGAGCUUGAAACAUGGCGCUAAUAUUGGUUUAGAUUUUUCAGGGUAUUACAGUAAAGAUAGAGAAAAAUGGUUGUAUAAGGUAUUAUCUUUAAACAAUGUUAGUACAUAACAGAUUUGUGUAUAAGGUAUAAUUUAACGGUUGAAUAAAAGUAAGUGAUUAUACUAUUGCGGUAUAAAUAAAUAGUAAAUAAAUGAAUAAGGUAGCAUAUAUAAGGUUCUGUUAUUAGUGAUGAUUUAUAAUUUAAGCUAUAGUAAUGUUUAUGUAGUAAUAUGUAUGUAUGGAUAAAAUUAAACUUACAUAAUACAUAUUACAUUUAUGUAUAAGGUUACAACUUUUAGGGACAUUGUAUGAGGUUACAUUUGUAUUAAUUAUAUAUUAUAUAUACAUUCGUUUGUAUAUAUGAUCAUGCUAAUGUAUAAGAUCAAUAUAGUUUUACAAAUCGAGAAUAAUAAAAAAAAUAAUUAUCAAUAGAUUAAAGAAGAAGAUAGUUAAGCAUCCUUAAGACAUAUCAAAAAAAAAAAUCAAAUCCAAACCAACAUUAGAAAUCUAACAAGUGCUAUAAGUCUUUAACAUCCAUUAUUAAAACAAGUUAGUAAUUGUGUUCAUCUAGAAAGUUAAAAAUUUGACUAUUCUAAACUAACUAUUGUUGUUUCGUCAAUUGGUUGAAUAAAACUUGGUCUUGAUCGCGAAGGAUCAUCAUUGUCACUUGUAUAUCAUUCUGAUGCCUUGAUGACUCCGUAAUUUCAAAGUAAUGUUGCACAGUGUAAUCGCUGAGUUUGUGCGUCAAACCCAAUUGAAGGUAACAUAUAUAUAUAUAUAGCAAUGUAUAAAGCUGAAAAAAUAUACCUGCAAACUGCCAAAAAAAAUUAAUACAAAAGUUAUAUAUGUUUGUGUACAACCUUAUGCAUAUUAUUAUGCCUAUGUAUGAUGUUACAAAGUUAAAUGUAAGAACACAUGCCUAUGUAUAAUGUUAUCCAACAAAUGUAUGACGUUAACAAUGUCAAUGUAAGUUAUGCUAUCAUUUUUAAUGUAUAAUGUUACCAUUCUAAUAUACGACGUUAAGACAAUCAAAUUAAGUUAUUUUUCCAUUUAAAUGUAUGAGGUUAUGUUCUAACGUAUAAUGUAAAAAUUUUAAUGAAUGGGGUUAACACAUUCAAGGUAAGUGAUAUUACCAUUCUAAUGUAUAAUGUAACCAAACUAAUGUAUAAUGUUAUCAUUCUAAUGUAUGAACAUAUGCCUACGUAUAAUGUUAUUCAAUACAUGUAUGAAGUUAGCACAGUAAAGGUAAGUUAUGCUACUAUUGUUCAUGUAUAGUAUUACCAUUCUAAUGUAUCAGGUUAACACAAUCAAGUUUUUUUACAAUUUUAAUGUAUGAGGUUACAAUUCUAUUGUAUAAUGUAAACAUUUUAAUGUAUGGGGUUAACAUAGUCAAGGUAAGUGAUAUUACCAUCCUACUGUAUAAUCUAACCAAUCUAAUGUAUAAUGUAAUCAAUUUAAUGUAUGAGGUUAACAUAGUUAAGAUAAGCUAUAUUACUAUUCUACUCUAUAAUGUUACCAUUAUAAUGUAUUAGGUUAUACCAUUUGAAAGUUAUACCAUUUAAACAAUGUAUGAGAAACCAUUAAUUGAAUGAAAUAAAAACUUCAAAUCACUGUACCUUUGGAUGACGUGGUCGUCCCGAUUCAUCAAUUUUUUCUUAUUUGGAGAUUUUGGGACCGUCUUGUUAAAACUUGUAUGGGCAACUUUCCUCAAUUUCUACAUUUUGACUGGAUCGUUUUGGUGCUUCAAUUUGUUCUCUGCGAAAUUAGGAUUCUUAUAAUCAAACGUUCCCGAAACAAAUCCAACACCAGAAAUUAUUUGUUCUUUUCCAUCUAACUGACUAAGACUAAAACUAAAGUUCGGAUCAGACUCCAUUACAAUGCUUAGAUUUUACGGAUUAAACACAUGGAGUAUAGAGCAAAAUCCAAAAGAUCUUAUUUGGAAUAGUUAAAAAAUUACAAAAUAAAGCAACUCUCACACUGAAAAUGUCAAUACAAAACUAAGAAUUUGAGAAAUAAACACAUGCAACAAUGAAAAAAUCAUAAAAAUUUAAUUGUAAAGUUGAAAAAAAUAAACAAACCUCACAAUUAAUUGAAGAAGAUGAUAAAAUUAAUCACUUUGAUCAGUUAAUGCUUGAAAUUUAAAAAUUUUGAAACCACUAGAUCACGUUUGCUUGAUUUUAGUCAAAGAUUAAGGAGCACUAAUAGAAGGAAAUCUGUGAGUUUAGUAUGUAUGAGAACUCUAAAGAGAGAAAAUAUAAAGGAUGUGAUAUUGUAUAAUUAGUUUGGGAUAUUUAUAAUUAUUUUUAUAAAACGGGAUAUUAUGUAAUUAUUAAUAGUUAACUUGUGUACUUAUGUAAAUUUUAGAUUUAUUAAAUGGGCUAGUGGCCCAGUUUCAAUUUUAUAUGCUACAUAUUUUAAUUCAUGGAUGGCGAGAUAAAGAGCAACUCAAGAACAUCAAUUGUCAUGGGUGAAAAAAAUUGAAGAUAAUAAAUAUGUAGAUUUGCAUUGGACCUCUCUGUCACUCGUUGACAAAAAUAUAUUUACUAAAUAUCAAGAAAAAUAAUUACAUCAACGAGACAUGUUACAAAUUUCUAUCACGAGCUGCUUUAUGUGCAAUUAGUUGUACUUAAUAAAGACAUGUGUUAAGCUAUAUUAAAUGUGACGUUUUGAUGAUUGACUACUAUUAUACAAGAACCAUUUUCUAAGCAUGUCUCAAAUAAGGAGCUGGUAGUGUUUAUAAUAGACAAAUUACUGAAGAACUAGACCCUUAUCAUGUCUACAGGACGAACUAGAUUACACAAUACAAUUACAUAGUAUAAUGAACAAAGAGAAAAAAACCAGGCCUUUUGCAGUGAAAUAGAGAUGACUAAUGAUCCGCUGACAUAAAGUGAUUUCUAAGUGCAAGAAGGAUUCCUUAAGGAAUUUGGUUAAUGAAAUAAAUAUGUGGAUUAAGGAAAGAGAACUCAACAUGGAAACAUCAUCGUAGUUGCACAAAAGGAAAGAGCUUUGGAUUUCUUGACAAAGUUUCAAUGGGUUUUGGAGCAAGAAGACCUAGGAUUUCGACCAUUGUCUCUCCUAUAUAAAGCACCAUAUUGAUGCCAUCGAAGACGGUGUAUUUGCAUAUAUCAAGUUUUAUUUCUAGUAAAUAGUAGUAGUCUUUGAUAGGAGUUUUUUAUGAGCAGAGGCAGAUUUAGUGGGUAACUUAAAGUUCACGUGAACUCGUGGUGUUUCUGCAAUACUAGGUAUUUUAUGUAUAUAAUUUUUAAAAUUGACCUAAUAUUAGCUCUUAGCACCCGUACUAUUAAGAUGCUUAGUAGUGCACUUGGUUGAAAGCUAAGUUAGUUACCUAUAAAGUACAAAGAUCAAGUCCCACUUGAUAAAUUUUUAUUCUCUCUUUUCUUGAGUAGUGCAACCAUCUUCAAGAAUCCUAGAUUUUCCUCUGUUUGUGAGAGCCAACUAUCAAUAAAGAGAAACUGUUAAUAAGAAGCUAGUGCCUUAGUUCUUGAGUUUCUUAGUUGACAACUUUAAGAUUGUCCUAUUUACUGUCAAAUAUGUUUUGUAAUAGGUAUUUGUUCCGGGGGUUGUAAAGGCUUUCAAGAUAGGGGUGGAAUCUUGAAAGGGAUAGUUAUAACUAGGAACAAAAGAGUUAGUCCCUUUAGUCAUAGAGUUAUAACCUAAAAUUGAUUUUCAAGUAGAGAUUUGAGGCAAAACAUACGAGGGUUGGUUGUGGUUUUUUGCUCAUAGAUUUUUCCAUGGUAAAAUUUCUUGUGUUCAUUAUCUUCUACACUUUUUCUUCUUCAGUGCAUUAAGUGGCAGCACAAAAUAACAACUGAUAUGAGAGCAGCUUCUUUUAGUAAUUCCUUAAAAGAAGUUAAUAUGGUUGCCACAAGGUCACCAUACUUCAAUAGAAAAUACCAUAGAUGGUGAGAGGCAAGAAUGCAGGAUUUCAUUAUUGGAGAAGACUUGAGACUUUGGGACAUCAUCCAGGAGGGCCCAUAGAUCCCUAUAGCCAAGGACGACAAGGGGAGAGAAACCGAUCCUUAGACAUUGGGACCUAUCACUGAUAUCUUAUCCAAAAGAAUGCAUAUGCUAAGAAGAUUUCUAUUCAAGAAAGUAUGGGACACAUUAUAGACUACUCAUGAAGAUACUAGGCAAGUAUUGUCAGAUGAAGGGAGAUACCCUGCAAGAGAUGUUCAAUAUGUUCACAGACAUUACUAAUGAGUUGGAAUUAUUUUGGACAAGUCAGGGAAACUUUUGGAUAUCUUUCUAAAUCAUAGGAAAGCUAAUUCAAUGCAAUUAUGGAAACUAGGAACUUGAAAACUAUGAUCAUUGAUGAGUUCACUGAAAAUUUAAAUACCUAUAAGAUGAAGAAGCUUCAAAAUCAGAAGGAUGUUGCUCCACGCAAAGAUGUUGUCCCUUAAGACUGCUCAAAUAAGAAAUUUGAUGAAUUAAAAUUGUCACUGCUAACUCAGAUUUCAAUGUAUGAUUAAGAAAGAAGGCUUUCUUAAUAGAAGUAGUUCCUCUAAAUCCAAAGCACCUAAAAAAGGGAAUAUUGAAGUAUAUGUCAUAGGUCUGAUAGUGUUGAUCACUUUAUUAAGUAGUGUCCAGCUAGAGAAACUAAGUUGAAAAGGAAUAGAUUGAGAGAAAGGAUCAAGUUCCUCAAAAUAGAAUGAUAACUCAAUAGGAAAACAAAAUUGUAAGGAACGCACUAGUUGCGAUGGAAAAUUCCUCGAGUGGGUAAUUGUUAAUGAAGAUGGAGGAGACAGUUAGUCGCAGAUGUCCAUUGAGGAAAUUCUGACAUUGAUGGUCAAAUCAGAUUCAGAAUUGGAAGAUGACGACUCUGAGGUCAACUCUACUGAAAUUAAAGAUGUUAUUCAUACAUACUUUAAGAAGAAACUAGUAUGUGUAGCUAGAAGUAAAGGGAACCUGGAAAGGACCAUAAUGCUCUAAAGGACAAUGUUCUCACAUUAAAAUUUAAAUAAUGAAAAUCAAUUAUGGAGAUGAAAAAAAACUUCUGGAUGCAGCCUUAAAAGGGAAGAGUCUUGCUAACAACAUACAGGAGAAGCUUGAGUGACUUAAAAAAGGCUAAGGAUAGCCAAUAUACUAAGCCUAAGAGAAACAAGGUGAUUCAAGAAGAUAUUUACAAACCAAGAAUGAACUGGAGAGAGUAAUCAAAUGGAACAGGUCCUUAGAAAUAUUUACUUCCUUGCAUGAGAAUCGAGUUAGCAACAAAUAAGGCCUGUGAUUCAAUAGAUUAAAACCCGCUACAAUUCAAAAAGCAUGUAUGUCUCUAUUCCUAAAAAAUUAUUUAUGCUCACAUUGUGGAAAAUAGACACCUCAAGGAUUCAACAUGGCCAAGGUUAAAACGACUCAGAAGAAUGUGAGAUGUUAAGAAAACAAUUGACCUGUUAAGAGUCCCACUUUGUAAAAGGGAUAAGCAAUUGGUCUCGUAAUAUAGACUUGGACAAUCCUCCCCCUACGAGCUAGAUCUUGGGUUAAGUUAGGUUUAUUUGUCAUAUCUUUACAUGGUAUCAGCGCAUUGGUGAGAAACUCCACCAGAUAAGUCAUCGUGCGUUAAUUUUUGGUGACUGUCAAGGUUGAUUUGCAUCAUUGUCUAUUUCUAUCUAUGUUGUACUUCUCUUUUCAAGUAGGGUUGUGCCAUCAUUUCAACCGUACCCACAUAACUUUUCUUGAAUUUUAACCACUUUUAAGCUGUCAAAUAUAAUAAUUUGGUGACCUUUGUCAAUUUUCUGUCAAAGAUCUAUCAACCCCUUUUAAUUUUUUCGACAGUUCAAUAUAAUUUUUGUAAACAUUCAUCAGUGAUUUUGAUUUAGUCGUAUGAUUAAGCCUGAACCUUUAAUGAGGAUAUAAAUAAUCAAAUAUCAUAGUCCAUGAAGAAUCAACGAAGGGAGAUCAUUUUGGAAGAUCUCGACUUAGGUGUAGUUAUUAUAGUAAUAAGCUUGGACACACUCGUGACGUAUGUUAUUCUAGACCUAAGUAUAGUUAUUGUCAUAGGAUUGGACACACUUGAGAUAAUGUUAUUCUUUGCGUAGUCAACCAUCCAAAAAUGCUCAUGUUGCUCAGUCUAACACCACAGGCAAUAAAUGGGUUUAUUUAUCUGAAGAUGAAUAUAAUGAGUAUCUUACAUAUAAAGCAAGUGAGCAAAUAUCUCUACCAGUAGCCUCAACUGCACAGUCAUAUCCUACCUUUAGAUCAUGGGUUGUGGACUCUAAUACUUCUAAUCAUAGUUCUAGUGAUAAAUCAUUUUUAUCAAAUAUUAUUUACUCACAAUCUCUUUCGGUUGUCAUUUAAGCCAAUGAUAACCAAACCAAAGAAAAAUAAGUUGGACAAGUUAAUUCCUUAUUCUCUGCCACUUUAAAUUUUGUUCUUCAUGUCCUUGUUGCCCUUUUAAUCUUGCAUCGGUCAUUCGUUUGACUCAUGCCCUAAAUUAUAGCAUACUAUUUCUUGAAGACUCUUUUGACAUACAUAACCACAGUACGAGACAACAGUUGGUGAAGGAUAUGAAUUACAAGGCCACUACUACCUUACCUCUUCUAACUCCUCCAUUGCAUGUCCAGUUACAAAUUCUCAAGACGUAAUUCACAAACGUUUGGGACAUCCUAGUUUGUUCAAGCUACAAAAAAUGACGUCUAGUUUGUCUAGUCUAUCCACAUUAGAUUGUAAGUUGUGCCAACUUGAAAAACACAAUUCAGUAAUAUUUUUGUCCAAUAUUUCUCAAAUGGUAUCGAACUAUUUUUUAUCAUAGUGCUGAGAGUCGUAUAGAGUCUAUCUCUUCCAUAAUAUACUCUAAUAUUUGUGGUCCUAGUAGAGAUAGUUCAACCUUAGGGUUUCGUUAUUUUUUUAGAUUCGUUGAUAAUUAUUCAAAAUGCACCUUGAUUUUCUUAAAGAAAGAUCGCUCUGAACUAUUUUCUAUAUUCAAGAGUUAUUAUGUUGAAAUACAAAAUCAAUUUGGUGUCUCUAUUCGUACCUUUCGUAAUGAUAAUGCCUUAGAAUAUAUGUCCUCCCAAUUUCAACAAUUUAUGACUCAUCGACAAAUUAAUCAUCAAACAUCCCCUCAACAGAAUAGAGUAGAAGAAAGAAAGAAUGGACACCUUAUCGAUACUGCUCUCACUCUUCUCAUUCAAUCUCAUAUUUCGUUGCUUUUUUAGGGGCAAUCAGUUCUCUCAUCUUAAUAUUUAAUUAAUCAGUUACCCUCAUUUUCCAUUCAAAAUCAAAUUCCUUAUUUAAUAUUAUUCCCUUAGUCACCUCUAUACUCUUUUCCCCAUCGUGUCUUUGAGAGUACAUGGUAUGUUCAUAACUCCACCCAGGGAAAAAUAAUUUAACCCCCCAUGCUCCCAAAUGUGUCUUUCUUGAUUAUUCUCAAGUAAAAAGAGGGUAUUAUUUCUACUCACCUGAUCUUUAUUAAUACCUUAUAUUAGCUAAUAUCGCAUUGUUUGAGUCUCAGCCUUACUUUACUUCUUCAUAUCCUGAUCAUCCUAACACAUCUGAGGUCUUACCUAUAUCAACUUUUGAGAAUCCUACCGUUACUUUAACAUAUCUGUCUAUAGUGCCACCAGUCUUACUUACACCAACUUUUAAGGACUCUAGAAAACCUUCUGCAACUCUAUCCACCAUGCCACUACUCCGGACUUAUCAUAGUCGUCCACGUACAACAUCGGGCUCAGAUGAUUCCCAUCUUGCACCUAAUCAUCUUUGUCCUCUAUCUUCAUCCUUAAGUCCACAAAAUGCACUUUUUUCAUCUAGAAUAGAGACAGGCUAUGAUUGACGAGAUGUUUGCUUUACAUGCAAAUGGUACUUGGGAUCUUGUUUAUUUUCUUUCAAGUAAAUAAAUUGUUGGUUGUCGUUGGAUUUAUGCAGUGAAAGUUGAUUUAGAUGGCCAAAUUGAUCAACUUAAAACUUGUUUUGCUGCCAAGGGAUAUACUUAGAUAUUUGGGCUUGAUUACAAUGAUACUUUUUCUCUCGUGUCUAUAAGGCUGCUUACCGGACGGAUUGGAUAAACCACUGCACUUAACGGUUUGGUUUAUCGGUUAUCGAUUUUAAAAUAUACAAAUCCACUAGCCAACCAAUAAGAUAUCAGUUGGUUCAUUAACUGAUAAACAAUUACUAAGCGGUGUAUUAGAAAUCCACUAUUCCUAUUUGGAUAAGGACACCUUAUCGAAUAGAACACUUCUUUUCACAGUGACUACAUAAAUAAUAGUACUAAAAACUAGCACUUGCUCUCAAAUCUCAAAAUCAACGCUUUUUAUUCAGAAAAAAAUACAACAUAAAAAGAUUGUUCCAUCUAAACAUGAAAUUAAGAAUUUUAAUAAAAUAUAAAAGAGAAAAAAGAAGAAAAUACAAGAGAAAGCGUGGAAGAAAAUAACAACUCUAUAACUCACCAAGAAAAAUAAAUAAUUAGAUAAACAUAAAAAGAGGAAUCAAGAAGAUGAAAAUAGAUUGAAUUAACAAAGAAGAGAUAAAGAUAGGGAUACCAAUGAAAGAACCAAAAUGGUCAAACAAAAACUUUGCUUUGAAAAGGCUCUGAAAAUCGAAAGAGGCAAAAUAUAUUUCUCCUAAUAACUUUACUCUUUAGUCUUUAUUAGUGAUUAAUAACGGUUCUAAGGUUAUUACAGUAGAAUUUAGAUACAUCAAGUUUAGAGUUUACAUUUUAUAAUAAUAUAAUAUGUAUUUUAUAUCUAGGUGGAAAAGUAUAAAUAUAUAUGAUAAUUCUUAAUUGGUUAACGGUUUAUCCGGUAAGAAAAUUGAGUAAUCCAACCCUACACCAAUAAGCCAUUGAUUAUAAAAUUUUAAUAUGUUCACCAACUGCUUAUUCGAUAAACCAAUACCAAUAAGCCAAUAAGUCAAUUUUGCGGUUGGCUUAUCAGAUACACUUUCGUUUUGAAUAGCCAUUCAGCUUUUUAUAUCCAUGGAUGUUGUUUGACACUGACCUCUUUUUUAGUUGGAUUUUAAGAAUGUUUUUCUCGAUGAUGACCUUAAGGAGAAAUUUUCUAUGGAGCAACCACCUGAUUUUUUUAUCAUAGGGAGUCUAGUUUGGUGUGUACAUUGCACAGGUCGAUUAAUGGUCUAAAACAGUCUCCUCGAGCCUAGUUUCAAAAUUUCAGCGUAGUAAUUCAGGAGUUUUCCAUGAUUCAUAGUGAAGCAGAUCACACUAUGUUUUAUUGACACUAAUUCAAGAGUUUGGCAUGAUCCAUAGUGAAGCAGGCCACUCUGUGUUUUACUAGCAUUUUGCUCUAAAUAUAUGUAUUUAUUUGGUGGCUUACGUUGAUGAUAUCAUUAUUACCAAUAAUAAUCAAGAUGGUAUUAGAGUCAGGUCCUUUCCAAUUCUUUUUUACUGAUGUUGGCCCCCAUAUUAUAUAUCCCACACUUCAAUUAACAAGCUCUGGGUGUGCGGGAGAGUGUUAAGAGUCCCCAUCAGAAAAGGAAUGAGCAAUUGCUCUCCUUGUAUGGAUUUGAACAAUCCUUACCCCAUGAGCUAGAUCUUAGGUUUAGUUAGUUUCAGUUGUCAUAUCUUUACAAAACCUAAAUCUAAUUCUUCUCUAAAAGGAGAAGGAUUGGCAGGUUGGACUAAUAAACAUUUAAUUCGUUCUUUUUCCAUAAAAAGGGACCCAAACUAUUUUGGGUUCCUAAGACCAACCUUUGAUUAUUGUUAAAACACUAAAGUGAGUGGAUGCAAAAGCAUGCAAUUCUAAAAGGUACUUACCCUAAUAUACAUACCACAAGAGAAGAGAAAAAUUUCCUGAUAGAUGCCUAUCUAAGUAAGAGUGUGAAAUAAAGUACUAAGAACAUCCACUUCAAUGCAAUUGAAACAUCUACUCAAACGAACCUGACUCUUGGGUCACAAAACCCAAGGUCAUGAAGAAAAGAAAUUGUGUGGAAGCUUGAUUUGAUAAAAGAAGGACUAAGAACAUUUUUUAUUCUCUCAAAGAUUGGUGAUGAUAAAUCAAGGUGUUUAUUUUAGGCUAAUGUGGAGAAUAAUUUCUACUAACAUUCAAUCUCUCAAUCCAUCAAUAUUAGGGACACACAAAUGGCCUUGAUAGUGAAGUGCACCAUCUCUCUCUUGGGAUAAAACCUCUACCUUUUGUUAUUGAAGUACAUCAAUCAACUAACUCAGUACAACAUCAUUACACUAUUUUUCCUUCACCUUCGCCACUAGAGAUGACUCUGAUCCAUUCUAUAUCAUCAUGCCCCCACAAUCUAUAUCAAAUAGAAGAAACCCUAAUCGAUCAAUCAAUGCAUAUUCUUAACCAACUUCUUAUUCUCAUCUGCAACAUGGUCUACACUACUCAUAGACAAUUUAUUAAGAGCAUUUGCAACCAUAUUUGCUUUACUCAAAUGGUAGAUCACCUUUAUGUCAUAGUCUUUCAACAACUCUAACCAUCUUAUCUGGCAAAGACUUAACUUCUACUGACUAAAGACAUAUUGGAGACUUUUAUGGUUGAUGAAAACAUCUACACACUAUAUGAAUAAUGUCUCUAAAUUUUCAAAGCAAAGACUACUAUUGCAAACUCCUAAUCAUGAGUCAAAUAAUGCUUUUCAUGAAAUCCACUCCCAAGAGUAUUCAUUAGUCCAAAAAACACAACCAUAAACUCAUAGUGACCAUAUCGAGUUUUUAAGGUAGUCUUUCAAAUAUCACACUACCAGGCCUUAACUGAUGAUAUCUAAAUCUAAGAUCAAUUUUUGAGAAAUAAUGGGAGCCCUAAAGUUGGUCAAAUAGAUCAUCGAUCCUGGGAUAGGAUACUUAGCCUUGAUGGUGACCUUGUUCAAUUUCUUAUAAUCUAUACACAUUCUGAGUGUUCUAUCUAUUUUUUUUACAUGAAUAAGGCUGAAGACCCCAUCGAGAAACAUUGUGUCUAAUGAAACCUUUGUCUAAGAGGUCCUUGAGCUACUCUUUCAACUCCUUAAGCUCUGUUGGAGCCAUUUUUUAAAAAGGGAUGGAGAUGGGAUUGGUAUUUGGGAGAAGGUCAAUACCAAAUUCAAUAUCUCUAAAACUCCAUAUAGAUCCUCAAAAAAAACUUUGGGUAACUCAUUGACUACAGGAACUAACUAAGGACUAGGGAUCUCAUAUUUAGAAUCCUUAACUCAAAUUAGACUAUAGAUAUACCCUUUAGAGAUUAAUUUUCAAGCUUUGAGAUAAGAAAUAAACCAACCUCUAGGCACCGUAGACUACCUUUCUACUCGUGGACAGACUCAUCAGGAUAAUUGAUGUUUCAUAACGGGUUCAACAAUCAACUGAGACAUAGCAUAAAUGGAGAUAGUAUAUUCCAAUAAUGACAUCAAAAUCCAUCAUCUUUAAUUCUACUAAGUCUGCUGAAGUGACCCGAUGAAGGACUGUAAUAGGAAAGUUUCUGUUAACUCUUUCAAAAAAUAUUUUGGGACUAAUACCAAAAUUCACAGCAAUAAAUAGGGUUAUGAAAGAAAGAUUGGACCCUGGAUAUAACAACACAUAAGCAUUAAUAUGAAAGGAUCGAAGCAUACCAGUGACCAAAUCGGGAAAGCUUUCCAACUCUUAGUAAGAAGACAUGGCAUAAUAUUAGUUUUGACUUGGAUUUCCAUGGGCAUUAAAGUAAGUACCAUGUUGAUAAGUUGAUCAGCCUGAGUGAGCUACUGAGGUAUUGGAUAGAGUCUAAGGGCAAGUAUACCUAUUCCCUUCCCGAUGAAUGAACAAUACUUCACCCUAUGGCCUAUCUUGGUAGACUCAAAUAAACUAUCUCCAACUAUCAAACUUUCCCUUGGAUGAUUCUUACUAUAUUUCUUUCAAGUUAGGUAGCUAUGUUCCCCGUGAUACUACCUUGUGAUUUGGUAGUUGGUGCCUUGCCCCAUUGCUCGUACUUUGAGUUAGGUGUAAGAGAAUUGACUUAAGAUGGUGCGAGGCUAAUGAACGAUUCUAGAACUAUAAGUAAUUUCUCCCAUCUAACCUAUGUUGACUAUACUCAAACUAGCUAGUCCAAGCCCUCUUAGCUUACCUCUCUCUUCUUCUUUAAUUUCUCUAUCUCAAAUCUGUUGAGUAUGGGUCACUAGUCAAGAAAUAUCCAUAUCCAUAAUUAGCAUGGUAGUACUACGCCCUUUGAAUACCAAAUCAGACACACCAGUAACAAACUUACUCAUGUGGGUCCUUGGAUCUUACACCAUCUAUAGAGCAUACCUUCAAAGUUCAGUGAAUUUAAGGGUGUAUUACUUCAUUAACAUAGAGCCCUGCCUGAGAUUUAUAAACUCCUUCACCUUAGCUUUAUUUAAACACUGCCUCAAACACAUUCCAGUUAUCAGAGUUGCAAUCCCACAUCUACCUACCUUUAGCUAAUUAAACCAAUCAUGAGAAAUAAUUUUCAACUAAUACGAUGCCAACUCUACACUUUCUACCUUAGUAAUACACAUAAUCUAGGUAACUUUCUUUGUCUCAUAUACAAAAUAUUAUGGAUCAUCAUCCACCACCAAACCAAGAAACUCAAGUAUGAUGUCUCAAAUCCUGGCUACAACAAAGUUUCUAUUUUAUGAAAUUGUGUCCACCACUUAUUGUUUGACCUAGGUGAUUAUAUCCUGAGCGAACACCCGAAUGGCAGCCUAAAAUUCAACAGAGGAAACUUAUUUGUUCAAGGAAACUGUAGGUGCUAGUGGGGCUAGAUGGUUUCUAUUUUUGUAAUCAUUAUCUUUACGAGGGGGCAUUUUCUAUUAUGUGAAAAGUAUCAGUCAUAAGACAGAUAGAGUUAAACUCUAGAGCAUGAUAAAGAUCAUGAAAAAAGGAAAAAAUCCUAAUAACGUCAAGUAUCCUCUUACUCAUAAGUGUGGUGCACUUUACACCCAUAAAAUACAAGCCCUUUUCUCUACCAAAGCUCAAGAAUAAAAAAGGGAUUAUCCAAAUUCUCAAGGUCCAAGCUCAAAGAAUCCAAGUUUUCCCAAGGAUUUGCUCAAUUUCAGGUAUGUGGGUGUUUAGCAAGGAUAUUUAUUCAUCCUUGUGCCCCAAAAUUUUUGUUUAAAAGAGGGGAUUUCUUAAGUUUAAUUUUAGGGUUUAAACUUAUUUCGUAAUUUUGGGUUUACUCCGUCAAUAUCAUGUUUCCCUUGACUUUGAAUGGUUUAGAACAUAUGGUUCAUUAUUCUUCAAGCUCCUGACAUAAAAUUAAACUAAUAAGACUUGAGUUUCUAUAAAUUUCCAUAAUUGAGUAUAAUCUUCUAUUUUUUGGUUAUUUAAUAUUCUUAUGAUCUCAAUUACCUUGAAUUCAUCACUAAUUUUUUAUCACUGCAUUACAAUAGUAAAUAAGCAUGAUUAAAUUUCAACAUUUUUAGGAUUAUGGUCAUCAACUUGCCUUAUAAUUAAGUUGUGCUUAUUUUCAUGAUGGGUUUUCUAUAAUAUGAAUAUUAGCAUGUAUUUUGGGAGCUUUAUUGAGCACUAAGCACACACGAGCUUAGCAUACCCAAAUCUUAGAACUAUGUGCCACCAUAGGUCUACUUAGCCUAUUGGCUUUAUGUUAUAAAUCCAUAAUGAAUCAAGAAUUUAUACCCUUGGAAAAGGUAUAUUGGGUCCUCCCAAUGGGGCACAUUCAUUGGAUUCCACUCAGUCAUGACUUUAUACCCUGGCAAGAUAGAUUGGGUCUUGUCGAUAGGGCAUAUAUAUAAAACUCCACGUUAGCUCACAUGGUCUUUGUUAGGUAAAAUAAACUCCCACAAAAUAUUUAUGUUAGAAUCUAAGUGUAACAACUCACCGACAUUACUAGAGUAUGCUUUACUAAAUUAUGCUUAUGAUAUUCCAGCUCUCAAUUUUAUUUAUGAAGUACGGUGAGUUUUUAUACACCUAGCAUGCACGUUUUCAUCCUACAAUAUAAUUGAAUUUUACUUUUUGUAUGUACCCCACAUACAUAAUAUAUUUCAUAAGUACUGACUGCAUAUAUUUUUUGCUAUGCAUCCUAUCAUAAUGUAGGAUCUGGUGUUUGCUCUCAACAUCAUGAUUAAUCGCGAUCAUCACUCCCUACCUCUUGUUAGUUAGUGACUUUUCAUGUUCUGAGGACCAAGAUUAUGUUUUGCUUUCAAUAGUUUAGCUUAUGUUAUUUCAGACUUCUUAGUUUUUGGGUUAGUUAGGGCACGUCUCGGUGACUCUUCAAUAUGUUUAGAGGCUUAUCUAGACUUUACAUUCAACUUCUAAACCAUCUUUAGCCAAUUCCCCCAAACCCAAGACCAAACAGGAAUAGUAAGGUAGGGCAAUGGUGCCACCAGAUCUUAGGGUAGCAUUUUUAGGGGAUGUACCGAUCUAACCUGUAAAAAGUAUGGUAAGAAUCAUCAAGGUGAGCGUUUGGCUGGCAUAGAAGGAUGUUUUUGGAUAUGGGAAGACAUGUCACAGGGUGAAAGAUUGUGCAGCAGCCAAGUAGGGGAAUAGAGAUGCUCAUGCCCAGACUUAGUCCACUACCUUAAUAGUCUAUUCAGGUCGCCUAACCCAACAACUAGGUGCUUUAUCUAGUGACAAUGGCGGUUAGCAUCAUAACUGGUUUUAUGCUUUAUUUUCACAUUAGGAGCACGGGAGCUUUCUAUACAUGGUCACCGGUAUGCUUCAUGACGUUCAUGUUGAUGCUUAUGUAUUUUUAGAUUCGAUCUUAAAUUAUUCAUUUGUAACAUCAUUCAUUGUGGUAAAUUUUGGUGUUAGUAUUGAAAGUCUUUCAAGCCAUUUUUAGUUUCCACGCCUAUUGGUGAAUCAGUUAUUGCCAGAUGAAUUUAUAGAAAGUUCCUUAUUAAAGUCUUUUAGAGGGUACCCUCAGCAGAUUUAAUAGAACUAGAGAUGACUGAUUUUGAUGUCAUUCUUGGCAUGGAUUGUUUCCAUUCAUGUUAUGCCUUAAUUGAUUGUUGAACUUUAAUUGUAAAAUUUCAGUUUCCUAAUGAGUAAAUCCUCGAAUGAGGGGGUAGUUUAGUGACCCCUAUGACUUGGUUCAUCUCUUAUCUAAACGGUAGAAAUUAAUAUCUAAGGAAUGUAUAUACCACCUAGUUUGGAUUCACAAUUCAAAGUUCCGAGACCUUAAACCUCUAUUUAGUCCCUGUGAUCAAUGAGUUUUCUGAUGUCUUUUUUGAGGAUCUGCCCAAAGUUUCUCCUAAUAGAGAGAUAGAAUUUGGGAUGGACCUUCUUCCGAAUACCCAACUUAUUUUCAUCCCUCCUUAAAGAAUGGCUCUGGUAGAACUUAUGUAGCUGAAAAAGAAGCUUAAAGAUCUUUUAGAUAAAGGUUUUAUCAGGCUUAGUGUUCCUUUAUGUGGUGAUCUAGUCUUAUUCGUGCAAAAGAAUGAUGGUACUCCCAGAAGGUGUAUAGAUACAGAUAGUUAAACAAGGCCACCAUCAAGAAUAAGUAACCUAUCCCCAGAAUUGAUAACCUAUUUGACUAGCUUCAAGGUGCUCAUUGUUUUUCUAAAAUUGAUCUCAAGUCAGGGUAUCAUUAGUUGAAAAUCAGAGAAUGUGACAUGCCAAGACUGCUUUUAGAACACAAUAAGGUCACUUUGAGUUUGCAGGUAUGUAUUUUGGAAUAACGAAUUCUCCGCAACUUUUAUGGAUUUAAUGAAUAGAGUCUUCAAGCAGUAUUUAGACAUAUUCAUCAUUGUAGUCAUUCAUGACAUAAUUAUUUAUUAUCAGAGUGAGGAGGAUCAUGCAUAACAUUUGAGUAUUAUAGACCCUCAAGGAUCACCAAUGUUUGGAAAAUUUAAUAUUUGAGAGUUCUAGUUGAAGUUGGUUGCUCACUAGGUCAUGUGUUUCUAGUAAAGGUAUUCAUGUAGAUCCUCAGAAAAUAGAUGUUGUGAGGCACUGGUAACAUGACCAAAACCGGGGUCUUGUUGUAAUGGGUAUCCCAAGUCCAACUAGGACUAGGGACCACCCCUGAUUCCCAACCUAGCCAUCCAAACAUAUACCCUGAGUCAGAUGAAUUCUGAACAUAUAACAAGAUAGCGUAUCUGUAAAAAUCUAGACUCUGGGAUAUGUAUAUGACCGUGACCGCCCCAAACGAGUCCAAUUGUCCAAACCUAAUCGUAUAAUAAUACCAUAACAUAAACCAAAAUAGUAACCAAAUAUAAGUCAAUAACAUAAUAGGAUAAAACAACCAACAAUACCGUCCAAGGGUGUCAGACCUAAUACCAAUGUUAAUACUAAGGCAGACACCAAUACCAACACCGCCCAUACCAACCCAUAGUAGUCCCAUAAAUCCUCUAACAAAAAGAAAAAUGAUAUUCGAUUGGGACAUUCCCCCAACCAUAGCAAAAACUAAUAUCCAUAAAAUACCCAAAGUAUGUAAAGACAUCCAUGAAAUAAAAUGGAGCCUUACAAAAUAUGAAAGCUAGCCACUUUUAUUCAAUAGCUGAUCUUGAAUUCGAUCACUAAGAAGGAGGAGUAGAAUGGCCAAUUACUACAUCGCAUGGGGAUACAGCCGUCCAAGGACGGGUUAGCGGGUGACAAGUACUUAGAAUAAGGAUAAAACAAUGCCAAUCUUUAAAACAAGUAAACCAACCAUAUGAAUACACAACCAUAUAUAUAUAUAACCAUGCUGCGAAAGGGAAACCAAUUUAGCAUGCCCAUUAACCUGGAUAUGUGUAGCUUAACAGUCCUAUAACCACCCACGGGUUAUAUGGGUCCAGUGUAACCCUCGAAAUGGGCCCCGAUAUAUGUAACCACACGAAUCGGAGAUACCAUAGGAGUAGGGAAUUCCUGAGAACCUUUUGCUCUCUAGGAUACAUAUGUUCAAGUGUACUUAGAGGAUUCUGAUGUACCUCAUAAGUAUUAUAUAUGAUCUCCAUGACCAACCCUCGUGUCGACAAAUAUGAGUUUAUAGUGUCCGUCCAUUAGCUCACACCUUCACGAUUAGCUAUCACACCCCACCAUUAUUUCUCAAUUAAAACCAUUAUUAUAUAUCCCAACCACUAUCCCAUUUAUUAUUAACCGAGGCUAUAAGUAGUGGUAUCGUUAUACCGACUAUAGCUUGCAAGCAAUCUCCUUAGCCAGCCUUUUAUAGAAUAAGGGAUUUCCAUGUACCCAUAGAUUACAUUAUUUAGGUACUUGGGGGAUUCCCAUAUACCCCACAAGAUUGUUUGUUAACAAAUUUGCUUGGGGGAUUCCCUAGUACCCCGUAAGACUUUCAGUUAGAUCAACCAUAACCACCAAAACCUUACCAUCUAACCGUUCCAAAUCAUUUAGGGUUCCAUUACCAAGUUAUACCAUGCAAUGGUUCAAUGAAAAUCCAACAAUUUAACCAAAAACAUUCUCAUAGGCAUUUUAUCAAACAUGUUGGGGGCAUAUUAUUCCCAAAGCCAAAACCAAGCGCCAAUUAAUCAUUCCCAUGCAACCAAUUGUUCAAACCACCAUAAUAAUAUGAAAACCAUAAGUAAAAAAACUUGGGAAAAUCAUAACCAACCAUUAUAACCAAAACCCAAAACAUAUAUUUGAAAACCCAAAAUCAUACAACAUUUAUUCCAUGAAAAUAAUUCAUAAAACAUGCCUUUAGUCGGAACUAACAAUGAGGGAGGAGUAACUUUCCUUAGAUUAGAAGAUGAUGGAGAGAAAUCACCUUAGCAAGCCCCAAAUGGAUCCUAUGGAUGAAACCCUAGCCUCUUUUAACCCAAAAUCCUUGAGAGAAUUUGAGAGUGUUUUCAGAGAGUUUAUAAGUGUUUAAGAUUAGAAUAAUAGGGUAAAUAAUAUCCCAAGAGUGAUAUAAGUCGAGGGGCCUUAAGAGGUUAAGAAGAAAAAUGUUGAGAUUAUCCCUAACUUAAACUAAUUAAAAUACUCACAAGUGGGUAUGACCAACAUACCCCAAUCAUACCCUAGGGUAUGAGUGGUACUCUAGACUCGUACCCUAGGCCUCCAGAUGGAACAACCAACAUAAUAAAUCCAAAUGGCCUUCGAAUUUCUAGAGAAGAUGCUUAUGGGUCAAGUGACACUUGAUGACUUCUUGAGGUCUACCAAAAGGCACCCAUUGUAUGAUUAUGAUGACCAAGGAGACUCAAGGGAUAUUAGAGAGGCCGAUGGAAAACCAAACGGGGCUAGAAAGCCCCCAAUAGAGGAGAUAUGACCCAUCCUCUUUGGAGGUGCGCCCAACCCGCUCUAGAUCUACUAGAGCGGGUCAAAAUAGCCCACUAUACCCUUGGAUAUGCCCCAUGUGUGCCAUAUAUGCUUAAGAAAGUGCCUAAUGCCUUCUAUGUGUUUGUCUUUCCUAAAUGGGUCACUUUUGGGCCCAUAUAAUGUAAUAAAUUAUCCUAGACUAUAAAUAGGACUUAUUUUAACUUUAGUAAGUAGUUUAUGCUGAAUUAUGAAUUUGAACACUUGUGAGAGUGUGAGGCAAGCAUGGAUUUGUUUGUGUUUAUCUUUUGUUUAAAAACGCGGGUUGCUUGGGAAUCGAUUCUCUUAAGGUCUACGUAAGAUUAAGGUGAUUUAUUUGGUUUGAUUGAUUGGGGCUUUAGGAUUUGAUACACUCUUUAUUUGCUUACAAUUCCUUGCAUUGUGUCUAUCUUAUUGCUUCUCUAUCUAUCUUUAGAUUUCAUAUUCGUAUUGUAGUUUAGUUUUCAAUUUUAUACUUUGUUCAUGUAUCAUUUGGUUCAUAGAUGGGUUUUGCUAUCUCAAAAAUCAACAAAAAAAAGAGUCAAAAAUCAAAAAUCCAAAAAAAAAUUCAUUAUUCACGUUUUUGCCUUUAGGUCAAAUUUUGAUUAUUUAAUUUUGUUGUUUUUCUUGUGUUUUGGUGUUAGAUCUUGUUCCCUAAUACUAGUAGAUUCUAAACCUUGAAUUUGAGCUCAAUCGGAGGUUAAUCGGUGGUCUACUAUUGCUGAGAAGCUCAAGUUUGAAGAUUGAAGGUGGAGUUAUAAUCUGGAAAUUUUGGUUGAGAAUCUAAGGACAUUGAUGCUUGGAAUGUGUUUAAAAGGUUGAAAAUAACCUAAGUUCAAAAUUUCAUCGCAUUCUGAGGAAGGGUUGAAGAGUUAGAGCAUUUUGAAGUUGUUGGUGUUCUUGAGUGUUCUUGGAGAAAUUCAAAUCUUUAAGGGAAAUUUUCCUCAAAAGGUGGUUGUUUGAUCCUCAAAAGUGAAUAAAAAGGUGUACAUAAGUGUUUUUACAAGUACCUAAAGAAUAUUCAGAAGAGAGUACAAGGGGGGACAAUUUGGAUGGCAUUUUUGGCCUUUCAAGGACCAAGGGGCGGACCACUUGUGUUUGAGGUGCGCCCAACUUGCGCCCAAGCUCUGGCCACACCCCAAACGCAUCUCAAGGCAGAAAGCAAAGGAAAAUGUGCAUCCAAGGUGACUUGCACCUAUGUCCCAACUUCUAGAGUAGGCUACCCAACGCAGAUCAGCCAUACCCAAUGCAAAUUACCUCAUUUUGAUGUGAAUUAACUUCAACAACACCAAUCCAAGUUUAUCAACACUUUUCAACAUCAAUUCAAGUAUUAAAACACAUCUCAACACCUUUGAAACUCCAUUGCUCAAGGUUUGAUUCUUAGUUUCUAUUUCUAAAUUCGUAAAUCUCUUUUUUGAUUCUUAACUAGUCAUCAACUAAUAACUUAUCUACUAAGUUGAUUGAUAGUUCUUGAGUCCUUUUCUUUCAUCGUCCAACUUUUAUUUCAAGCUUUUAUCUUUUGAAUUUGUUGUUAGUUCUUGACUCAAGUCCAUACAUAUUUUUUUGAGCCAUUUCAAAUAAGGAUUUAUUCCUACCUCAAGCCACAAUUGGUACCAAGCAAUCUCAUUGGAGUACAAAUGAGCUAUCAACACUUGCGACGCCAAUUAAGAUAUGAACUAAAGAUGGAAACUUUAAGAGCUUUUGAGGUUGAUUUCUUAACCUUUAACGUGUUCGUUUUUUUUGUUUUGUUUUAGCAUUUCUUUUAUAUAGGUAUUAUGGCAUCGGAAGAAGGUAGCCCAAGAGCUUCGGGAGAGAUAAACAUGGAAACUUUAAUGGCGGCCAUAAUAAGUAUGAAACAAGAUGUAAAUCAAAGAAUGGAAAUCAUGAAAAGUUCACUCUCAAGAAGGAUGGACACCUUGGAAGUCCGUCUAAACUCUACAACUUCUACUCCUCAAAAAUAUCAUGCUUCCUCCAGUGAACAUGCUCUCAACACCUCCACUACUAUAAAUCCAGAAACACUUCACCAAAUGUUCAAUCCACUUAGGCAAGUGUAUAAAUCCAUCAUCCAAGCCACCAUCUACCCAAAUAAUCGAAAUCCCUUUCUUCCCCUACAACACCAAUUCAAUAAAGCCCAUCAAGAGGCUCUACAAAACCUGAACCAACUAUCUCAAAUCCCAUCUAACCUAAAUCAACCAAUCUAAAUUGAAGAUGGCGGAGGUAAGGAACUUUAUGAAAGAGGUGAAGAGUUCGAUGGAGUGGCUCUCUUUGUGAAAUUCGUACGAACUAGAAGAGGAGCUCAUGGGGGAGGACAUGGAGGACGAGGAGAAGAUUUGGUUCGGUUACACAUGAAAGAGAAAACUUGGGGAAACCUUCCCCAAGUACAAUAAGAUCAUCAACAGGAUCAAGGAGGUAAUAUGGGUGGAGACACAAGUCUUAACUCAAUCAAAAUCACUCUUUCUACCUUUAAAGGAACUAGUCAUCCAUAUAUCUACCUUGAUUAGGAGAUACAAUGCAAUAGGAUCUUCUAACUCAAUGAGUUAACCAAACACAAGAAAGCCGCCUACAUAAUUGCUCAACUUAAAGAGUAUACUUCUACUUGGUGGGAGACAAAAAGAGAGCAAAGAGAAAGAAAUGGUAAUCCUGACCUUCCAUAUUGGGAUGAAUUGAAGUCAUACAUAAGAGAGAGGUAUGUUAUGGAAAGAUUUAAGCAAGAGCAACUAACAAGGCUUUACAAUUUGAGAUAAGGAGGUAGAGGUGUGGAAGACUAUUAUGAGGAGUUUCAAAACUUGAUCCUUCAUCUUGAGAUUGUUAAACCUCCAAAUCAUUGUAUGGCUCAGUUCAAAGGUGGUUCAGAUUAUGAAGUUGUUUCUCAACUAGUUCUCCACAAGUUUGGCUGAAUAGAAGAUCUUGUUGAAGCAGCCAUUGAGGUUGAAAGGAACAACAAUUCCAAUAAGCCCUUCAAUAAAGGUUAUAAUUCUUCUACUUUCUUCAGAUGGAAUAAGAACAAGGAUUUUAACAAGCCCGUUGAUAAGGCAAUCCAAAGGUAUCCACUAAGGAACGAAGGUAAUCCAUCUUUUAAUCCCAAUUCUAAAGGUAUUACUUGUUUUAAAUGUCAAGGUUAGGGUCAUAAGGCUAGUGAAUUCCCCAACCUAAGGAACAUAGAAUUGGUAGAGGGUAAUCCUUACUUUGUUGAAGAUAUGGUGACCAAAAAUGAUGGUGGUGAGGAAAAACCUUAAGAGGAUAAUGACCUUGGAAGUAAAGGGAAAUUAGCGAAAGUGGGAGGGGACUUUAAUGUACCUUAUGAAUUGAUAAUGAAAUUUCCCAAUGAAGAUGUUUGGCCCGAAGAAGGAGAGGUCUUAAAUCAUAGCCUCAUAUGAGGAGGGAUAUUAAUGGUAAAGAUGAGGAGAUUUGGGAUCCAAGAAAGAGAGCUUAGUGACAAACUCAAGCCCUUGUUAUUCACUACAUUUGGCACUAGCAUUGUUCUAACUUGCAAGUUGAUUCAUAAGAGAAUAAGUCCAUAUGGUUCAAGUUUAGAAAGCAAGAGAGCAUGCUCAAGUCUUUUCUCCAAAGGUAUAUACCUACCUCCUCUUAUUUUUAGCUUUUCUUGGAAUACUGAUGAUAUUUACCCUAGAGUAUACAAUUUCACAAAGAUAUUUGACUUAAAAUCCUACCUAGAUGGCAUUGAUGUCUCUUGGAAUGACUUGAAUAAGCAUAAAAUAUGUGGCUUCUUCUUGGAAGGUUGUUCGAGUGAAAGGGAUGUGAGGUGCUUAAGUUAUUUGUUCUUACCGUCUUAUGAUUGUGUUAUUGGUAGUGCCUUAAGUAAUUAUAACUCUUGUCAUUCUAUUUUCUUCAUUUGUGAGCAUAAUUAUGUUGGUGCUAAGUAUGUCUUGUGUGUAAACCUGGCUUCUUAUGAAUGGAAGGGUAAUCUAAACCCUAAUGAUUCCUUGAUUCUACCCUUAGCUAUUCCAACAUGUGAUGAUUUUUUUGGUAACUUUGUUAAUGGAACCAACUUAGGAUAAUUUGUUGAUGGUUAUCGUAGCCAACUCCUUUGCACUUAAAAUGUUUACUUCUCUUCUAUUUUCUUGAAGGAUGUUUGGUUAUAUGUGAAAUAGGUGUCUCCUUGGCAUGGAUGUUUUUAUUUUAACCCAUGUGCUAACCCUCGUGCCUCAAUAAAAUAUUUGUUAUGUUUUCUUCUAUUGUGUUUAAAGUUUGUAUAUUUGAGGAUGAAUCUUCUUCAAGAAGUACAGGAUGAUACAAUCCAAAUAGCCUCCGGAUAUCUAGAGAAGAUGCUUAAGGGUCAAGUGAAACUUGAUGAAUUCUUGAGGGCUAUCAAAAGACAUCAAUUGGAUGAUUAUAAUGACCAAGGAUACUCAAGGGACAUUAGAGAGGCCGAUGGAAGACCAAACGAGGCUAGAAUGACCCUAAAAGAGGGGAUGUGCCCCAUCCGCUUUGGAGGUGUGCCUAACCCAUUCUAGAUCCACUAGAUAGGCUCAAAACAGCCCACUAUACCCUUGGGAUGUGCCCCAUGUGUUCCUCAUAUGCUCUAGCAAGUGCCUAAUGGGAUUCUAUGUGUUUGACGUUCCUAAAUGGGUCACUUUUGGCCCCAUAUAAUGUAAUAACCUAGCCUAGACUAUAAAUAGGACUUGUUUUCAUUUUAGUAAGUAGUUUAUGUUGAAUUAUAAAUUUGAACACUUGUGAGUGUGUGAGGAGAGAGUGGAUUCGCUUGUGUUGAUCUUUUGUUUAGAAACGUGGGUUGCUUGGGAAUCAAUUCCCUUGAGAUCUACGUAAGAUUUAGGUGCUUUGUUUGGUUUAAUUGAUUGAGCGUUUAGGAUUUGAGACACCCUAUAUUAACCUAGGUAUGUGUAUCUUAACCAUACUAGAACCACCCACGGGUUAUAUGGGUCCAGUGUAACCCCCGAAAUGAGCCUCGACCUUAUGUCGACAAACAUGAGUUCCCAUUGUCCAUCCAUUAGACUCACACCAUCACGAUUAGCUACCACACCCCACCAUUAUUGCCCAAUUAAAAUAAUUACACAUCCAAACCACCAUCCUAUUUAUUAUUAACCAAGGCUAUAAGUAGUGAUAUCGCCAUACCCACUAUAGUUUUUAAGCAAUGUCCUUAGACAACCUUUUAUAGAAUAAGGGACUCCCAUGUACCCAUAGAUUACAUUAUUUAGUUGCUUGGGGGGAUUCCUAUAUACCCCAUAAGAUUUUUGUUAACAAGUUUUCUUGGGGGAUUCCUUUGUAUCCCAUAAGGCUUUCAAUUAGACCAACCAUAACCACCAAAACCUUACCAUCUAACCAUUAUUAACCAUUUAAACCAUUUAGGGUUCCAUUACCAAGUUAUACCAUGCAAUGGUUCAAUGAAAGUCCAACAAUUUAACCAAAAACAUUCUCAUAGGCAUCUUAUCAAACAUGUUAGGGGCAUAGUGUUCCCAAAGCCAAAACCAAGUAACAACUAAUCAUUCUUAUGCAACAAAUUGUUCAAAACCACUAUAAUAAUAUGAAACCAUAAGUAAAAAGAUAUGUGAAAACCAUAACUAACCAUUAUAGUCAAAAACCCCAACAUAUAUUUGAAAACCCAAAACUAUACAAAAUUUAUGCCAUGAAAACAAUUCAUAAAACAUGUCUGUAGUUGGAACUAACAAUGAGGGAGGAGUAACUUGCCUUAGAUUAGAAGAUGAAUGAGAGAAAUCACCUUAGCAAGCCCCAAAUUGAUCCUAUGGAUGAAACUCUAUCCUCCCUUAACACAAAAGCCUUGAGAGAAUUUAAGAGUGUUUUAAGAGAUUUUCUAAGUGUUUAAGAUUAUAAUAAUAGGGUAAAUAAUGUUCCAAGAGUUAUAUAAGUCGUGGGGACUUAAGAGGUUAAGAGGGAAAAUGUUCAGAUUACCUCUAACUUAAACUGCUUAAAAUACUCGCAGGUGUGUAUGAACACCCCACCCUAACCUUACCCUAGUGUACGAGUGGUACCCUAUACUACCCUAGGCCCUACCUUAGACCCCAACACUGUCCAACAUACAACCAACCAAGCCAAAUCAUAUCCAACCAUAAGACUAGUACCAUAAAAUCGUGCCUUAGGCAGAAUAGAAUCACCUAGACCAAACUUUAGGGAAACAUACGAGGGAUACCUUACCAAUCAUACUCUAACAUAGGACCUGUAUGUUCCAACCAUACCUUAGAUAGAAACCAACCAACCAAUCUGCGCCACCCAACACUGGACAGUAUACAACCACCAUCACACGAGUCGUACCCUAUCAUACGUGAUGUGCCCCUAGUCGUAUGAUAUCCAGAAGCUAAAAACCAAGGAAAUUUUCUAAGGGUCAAAACCCAGGGUGUUUCAACUGGCCAGGGCAAUUAAUCAUCCAAUAUUAGGAGCUUUCUACUCUUGGAUUAUUAUUAUAAGAGAUCAGUUGAGGGUUUUUCUACUAUUGUUCCAUAUUGACUAAAUUGACCCAGAAUAAGGUGGAGUUCUAAUGGUCAGAUAGGCAUGAGAAGAG
rnacentral:lncRNA from 1 species